UUUUUUUUUUUUUUUUUGGGUUGGGUUGGGUUGGGUCUCGAGUUGGAGGGUUGAAAAUUUUGGUUCAACCCAACCCAACCCGAAUUAAUAUAAUAUAAUAUAUAUAUUAUUUAAUAAAAAAAAACAAAUUAGGUAUAUAAACUUUGAAUUUAUUUUAUGAAAUUUUGAAGUAUGUAUGUUUGAAAUUUAAAUGUAACAAUUUUGAACUUUUAUAACAUUAGAAACUAGAAAAAAAAAAACUAUGCAAAACCCGACAAUUUUGCGUGAGCAUGAUAUAAUACUAAUCAACAAUUAUAACAAUAAUUGUCCAAGUAAAACCCCCAACAUAAUAAGUAAAAAACCACGGACCGAAGUCAAAAUCUCCACUCUAAUCUUUAAUGGGUACAACAAAGUUCUUCCUAGUCACAAAUAGAGGCAAAUAUUUGGAGAAUAAUAAUUUUGGCAAUAAACAACAAUAACAAUGAAGAAAAAUAGAAAUAUCUCACAAUAUAUGAUAGCCAACUAUCCGCUAGAAUUUGACUGUAGAUAUCUCCAAAUGAAAUCUCCACUGUUCAAAAUAAAGACUCUCGUGCCAAGAAUAUAAUGUCAAAAUUUCAGCUCAAUUGGACCACAGAUCCAUCUCCAUAUGGUUGAAAUACGAACUACAUGGAAUUUGUUUUUUUUUUUUUCACACUGUGUUGCCGUCACACUUUCACACGGUCAAAAUUAGACAAUUGCAUAAUAAAACAAAGAAAGAUUUAGAGAAAUCACCAUUUUUCCCACGAUAUUUCACAAAUGUCCUAAAUUUUCAAUUAUUAUACAAGGUAAGAAAUCGUGGCAUUUUAGGACAAUUUUAACAUUCAUAUAAUUAUUUAAUAAUUAUGAUUAUCAAAUAUCUUAAACAAUAUUUUCAUUAACAAUCAAAAAUCAUAUUUAUUAUAUCAAUUGUGAUUUCUUUCUUAAUUAUUAGUACAUAUAUAUUUGUCCUUAAUUAUUACAUAUAUAUUUGUAUUUAUUAAUAAAAUAUUUAUUACAUUUGCAAUAAUUUGAAUAUGGUAUAAAUUAUUAUCUUAUAUGAUAAUAAUAUUUUUAAUUAUUCCACAAAAUAAUUAUUUUCAAUUCAAUGCCCAAACCAGGAGCUUUUUUCUCACAAUCAUCAAUUCAGGCGUCGACUUUCUUCUUCGAUUUGUAUUUCAAAAAAAAAAAAAAAAUCUUGUUUCCUACCGAACAUACGGUUAAUUUUUUUUUUUUUCAUUCAUUUCUCGCUUCAUAUAUUCUUUCUUCUUUCAUUUCGUAGUAUAUAGAUUUUUUUUCUUAAAAAAUUUGUUCUUUCUUCUUCUGUUUCAACAUAUAUUUAGGUCAUGUUCCUCAAACUUUGUUUCAUUUUUUAUUGUACAGUUCAUCUUUCUGUCGUUUGUCGUGUUCGACAUACAUUUUUUAUUCAAUGUCUCAUCAUUCGUAUAUACUAUGAUAUACCACAAAAUAAUAAAUUUAUGUAAUGUGAUUUUUCACAUAUAUACUGCUGCAUAUAUUCAAUAAUACAUACACAUAUUCGUUUUCAUGUCCUGUGAUUUUUUCUUAUUGCGUAUGUAUACCAAUAUAUAAACAUAUUAUAUAUCCUUUCAAUUUUUUUUUCUUAAUAUAUGCUACUGAAGAAUUCAUUUAUAUUUCGUGAUUUGUUACAUAUAUACUGCUACAUAUAUUUAAUAAUACAUACACUUUUUUUUUUUCAUGUUCUGUGAUUUUUUUUUACUACAUUUAUAUACCACUUAUACGCAAAUUAUGUAUCCGAUCAAUAUUAUUUUUAAUUCCUAUAUAUAUACUCUACAUAAUACAUUCAUGUUCUAUGAUUUGUUACAUAUAUACUACUGCAUCUAUUCAAUAAUACAUAAAUUGAAGUUUGCAUCUUUCCACCGAAUGUAAAAUGUUCAGUUGGUCGAUCAAAGAAUAUUAGAAUUUUUUCUAAAAUAGAAUUUUAAAUGUGGCCGUUGUGGAUGUGUUGGCCAUAACCAAAAGAGAUGCAAGUUUUUCGUAAUGAACUAGUUUUUUCUUCUUAUUAUUAGACUUUUAGUAUGUAAAUUCAGACUUUUAUUUGAAAUAUUCAUAUUUUAGAUUUUAAUUUAGUUAUUUUAUUUUCAUAUUUUUCCAUUAUUGUAUUAAUAAAAAAAAUCAACUUAUUAUAUUUAAUAUACUACCCUUCAUACAUAAUCAUUAUUAUUGUUUCAAACAUAACUUAUUAUUUAUUACAUAUAAUAUGAAUAUUUGAAAAAAAAAAUACAUAAACCAGUUUGGCAAAUUGAUAGCAUAACAUUUUAUUUAUAAAAUAUACAAUGUAUUAUUUUAUAUAUACUAUUCAUAAACCAAUUUAACACUCAACCAAUUUUUCAUACAAUCUCUUGAAUUUUCAAUUCUUUCAUCAAAGUCUCUAGAUCGCAAACAUAUUCAUUUUUUCUCAACAUUACAUAUACCAGAACUAGAGAAGAACUAAUGUUUUAAUGACAUAUAUUACAUAUACUAAUCAUAAUUUUUUCUCGUUAAUGUUUCUGUAAACAUAAACAACUUUCAUACAUAAUUACUAUUGUUUCAAACAUAACAUAUUAUUUACUACGUAAGAUAUGAAUAUUUAAAUAAUAAAAAUUAAUAUAAGAACAUUUCAUUCAUAAAAUAUACACCAUAUUAUUUAAUAUAUACUAGAAUUAGGUGAAAUAUAUGAAAAACAAUGCAAAACGAAAGAAACCAUGAGAGAAAGAUUGGAAAUUUAGAGAGAGAUCAAGAUGGAAGAAUUUUUGAACAAAACCAUCAAACGAAGGAAUAAUUUUUAUUAUAAUAUUAACAUAAUAUAAUUAAUUACUUAUCAUAUUUAUAUAGGAUAUUUAAUAAAUGCAAAUAUUAAUCCUAAUCCACUUUUUUUUUUCAUUUUUUAUUUUUUAAAUAUAUUAUUAAUAAUAAAGUUGAGUAAAUUGGUCGUUUGAACUUUAUAUUUGUAUAAAAUAUUAAUUCAUUUAUGAUAUUUAUGAAAAAUUUAGAAAAUUAUACCAUUUUACUCCAUCUGAAAUAAAGAUCCUAAAACAACUUAACCUAAAUAAAUUGUGGAAAAGGCUUCAAAGUGAAGCAUAAUAUCAAGGGGGCGUACCCCAAUGAGUUGCAAACAACCCAACGAACUCUCUAACCUCACACGGUUAUUCACCCAAGAAUAAGUUUUAAUUUUUGCAUGAAAAUAUCAUUACUUUUGCAUUGAAAACGACAUUUUCUUUUUACAUUCUUCCAUUUUAAGCUAGGACUUGUAGAUUCUAUGCAUGUACUCAACGACUCCCAAAUUUAUUGAAUACGUAUCAACUUACAUGUAUUUAAUUUAUGUGUAUAUAUAAUGUAUAUGUCAUUAAAGUCAUUUCUUGAACAAGUUUUGAGUCAUCUAGUGUUGGGAUCUAUUUGUUUUUUUUGUUUAUGUAGGAUAUGGAUAGAUAACCUUAAGAGGAGGCAAAAACUACAAUAUCAUAAACACAUUUGAUUUUUAUCCUCUUUAAGCAUAUGACAAAACUUGACAACAAUUUACCUUGAUUUCCAAAUAAAAUAAUAUCUUCAACCAAGAACCCAAUAUCAUACCAAGAAAAGUCGUCUCCAAUCAAAAGUUUGCUGAUAUGUUCUAGAAUAAUACAUUUUAUUGAUAAAGUUUAGAGUGAGUUUGAAUUAACUUAAAAAAAGUUUGCUGAUAUGUUCUAGAAUAAUACAUUUUAUUGAUAAAGUUUAGAGUGAGUUUGAAUUAACUUAAAAAAUUUAUUAAAAUUUUUAAAAAUAACAAAUAUUAUCAAAUAUUUAUAACUUAUAACAAAUUCUAUCACUUAUAGUCAUUGAUAUACUACAUUGAUAGAAGACUAUCGGUAAUAGAAUCUAAAAUUUUUAUAUAGCUUAUAAAUAGUUUAACCUAUUAUGUUAUUUUUAAAAAUUUCCUAAAUUUAUUUUUGUGAAAAUGGUUUAAAAUAUAUUAAAAAUAUUAUUUUAAAUAAGUUUCAAACAAAUUAAAAACUUGAAAAAUGUAAUCUAGUGCACUAGAUUGUUAGUUUUCAUUUUAAUUAUUAGAUUUUACAUUUUUGCGCACAAAUGACUAGUGCUUGCUUUCAUGUUGGUGUCAACUAUCAAUUAAUUAAUUUCAAAUAUUUAUGAAGUCAUUUUUUAGAAAAUUAAAUUUAAUGAUAAGAUGAAAAAAAAUGAAAUGAAAAAAAUGAAAUGAAAAAAAUGAAAUGAAAAAAAUGAAAACUCAUCUGACAUUGUAAAAUUGGAAAACCUACUCAACAUCCUUCAUCAAAUUAUUUCUUACACAAAUUUAAUCACAUCAAUUUACACAAAAUGCAUUGUAAAAUGCUAUACAUACCACGGUUCAAUUUUUAUACAUAAACUUCACGUCAAAUUUCUUUAACAUCCCAUUUUUUGUGAAUAAAUUUUAAAUAAAAUUCUUUAAAUUUAUUUAUGUAACCAUUUGAUUAAGCUACCAUUUGAUUUGUAAGCUACCAUUUAAAAAUUUUACUCUAUAUGAUAAAUAUUUUAUUAAAUUUAUUUAUUUUUUUUACCCUUUUUAAAAACAAAUUUUUAUAUAGUAAAAUUAAAAAGAAAGAGAGUAAAAGUAAAUUUGAAGCUGUCUAAUUUUAGGGGAAAGAAAAUGGAAAGAGGAGGUAGAAAGAUUUGAGUUGGAUAGGAAGUAGAAAAGACAAUUAUUUUAGCUUGAUUAGAGAGGGGUUCAAUUGUUGAAAAGAUUGAUCAGAAAUGGCAAUGAUAACCCGUUUUUUAAGUGUGGGUUUGCUCGAGACUCCUAUUUUCGAAGCAAACAAAACAGAAGAAGAUAUCAUUGCAUUUUUCUGUGUUUUGGAUUUCCUUUUUGAAUUUGGCACCCAAACCAAACGACAAACAAACGUUCUCAAUAGCUUUGCUGUAAAUAAUAAUAAUAAAAUAAGUUGACAAAAUUGGUAAUUUUUUUUUCUAUAGGGUUUCGAUUUUCAGCCAACAAUAAUCCCUUAAAACAUGGAAACAGUAAAUCUCAGUCAUUUGCUUCGUCUCCAAUUGCCACCAUGUUAGUUUAUGAGUCACUUGUAAUGUUAUGUUUCAAACACUUGUACAUAGCUAACAUUUAUAUAUCCUAAGGAUCUAGUAUGAAUACUUUUUAUAAUUUGAUAAAAUUUGUGGGAACUAUUUACAAAAUUGAUAGAUGUCACCUCAACUAUAAUUUCAACAAGAAAAAGGAUUAGAACCACGAUUAAGCACAAUUUUCGACAAACUAUUCAUUAAGAUAUAACAAUAAUUAAUUUAAAAACAAAAUUAUUUAAUACAUGAUAAAUUUAAAUUGGACAAUGCUUAGGAGCAAUUAAUUGAGUUUAACCCAAAAAUGAUGUUUGGGACAUUGAAUCAAAUUAUGAAGUGUUUGGUGGAAAGAAGUUAUAAUUAAAAAAAAUAUAGAAUGUUAAAGAUAAGAAAUUUUAUAAAUAAACAUACAAACUUUAAUAUAAAAUAUAAACGAGAAAUGAGGAAGGAGAGAGUAGGGGGCAAUGGGAAUUAGGGUGAGUUACAGAGUGAUGAUUGACACAAAAAAGAAAAACAAAAAACUCGCCGCCAAAGCGAUGGAAGGACACCGCAUGCAUUAAUUGAUCGAAUUAAUCGUCUCUUCGUUUUCAAAUAUAAAAUAUAUAUUUUUGAAAUUUUAUAAUCAUCAUAUAAUAUUACUUCCAAGUUCACACCCAAACGCCAAAUUUCCUUCACCGUCCCUUCAUCUUCAUAGUAAUACUAAUACUAAUAAUGGGUUUUUCUCUAAACCCAAACGCCGAUCCCUUUUUUUAUACGGCGCCCUUCUCAUCACCGCCGAUGAAGCUACAGUGUAGCCCUAUCCCCAGGCUCAUCUUGGGCCCGGUACCGUUGCAUGCUAAUUACUUGGUCCCCUACCUACACCAACACCAUCACCCCAUGUUCUCUGGAUUCUUCAACGGCAUCGUUCCCCCGCAGGUUGCUUUGUGUUCGCCCCGUUCCGAUGGUUUUUGCGGCGGCGGCGGCGGCGGCGGCUCUAUUUCUUAUUCUCAGCCACAACGCUGUGAGGGUGACAGAAAGAUGAAAUGGGUUCCGACCAAACUUCAUUUUGACGUUGCUGAUGAUAAUAAUAAUAGCGAUCAAGUCUUGCCUUUUCGAACUCAAACUACCACUCUCAUGAUCAAGAAUAUUCCCAAUCAAUUUAGGUCUACCCUUCUCUCUUCAUUUUUUUGUCCUUUAUAUUUUCAUUCUAUAUUAUUAACCUUUUUCCUUUUCUUUUUUUGUUGUAUCGGUUUAUGAAAACACUCUUUAAAUGACACAAAAAAAAAAAAAACAGAAAAAAAGGAAAAUAAUCUAGAAGCUAUUAUAUAUUGGUAAAUUAUUAAAUUUAUGAACCCUAAAGUUGUAUUUUUGUUAGUUUUUUUAAGUUUCUUUUUUGGAAAUCCUAAAUAGCUAUUUAGUUCUGGGUUCUUAGUUUUAGUAAUUGUGCAUAUUUUCUCUUAGUUUCUCAUUUUGGUUUUGUUUUUUUAAUUUUUAUACAAGAGUUCAAUUCUUUGCCAAUAUUAAGAAAGGAACUACUUUUUAGAAACAAUUUCCUCCAUUUAACUUAGUUUUUGAAUACAUCAAUAAAAGGUAAACAACAAAGCAUAAAACUAGAAUUAGUGUCUAGAUUUAAUUUUAAAAAACCAAAAACUAGAAUGAUUUUCAUUAUUUUUUUUGUUGAAAAUUAUGCAUAUAAACCCUCGUACCACAUCUAGGUCUAUUAAUUUGUUAUCUAUUUUGUUAAUUUUUUUAUUGAUAAUUGUUGGUGCUUUUGUAAUUUCGCUGAGAAAUGAACUUCUGUGCUUGAAUAUGCAAAUCAUCAGUAAUAGUUUACUAAAUUAGGUCGCCUAAUAUUUGUUUAUCAUAUAGAGCUAUUUAGUGUUCAAUUUCAAUUUUUUUGGUAGGCAAAAUCAUUUAUUGAAUAUUCUGGACAAGCAUUGCAAGUGGAAGAACGCAAGUUAUGAAAAGAAGCAUAGUUUGGACAGCUGCCGUCGGUCGGAAUACGACUUUGUUUACUUGCCAAUGGACUUCCGGUGAUCACUCUUGUCAAAAUUUCAUUACCAAUUCAUUCCUAUUUUAUGUUCGUUUGGGUUGUUGUAAGUUUUGAUGAAUAACUUAUUUGUGGGCAAUAUAAUGCAAAUAAUAGGAAAUAUUGGUACGAUGGGCAAAUAUCAAAUCUUGGAUAUGCUUUUGUAAAUUUCACAAACCCUACAGCAGCUUCCGAGUUUCGUGAAGCCUUUCAUCGCCGACGAUGGGAUGUUGCAGUCAGCAAAAAAGUCUGCGAAAUUAAAAUUGCAAAACUUCAGGUCCACUUAAACGCCGUCGUUUUACCUUUCUUUUUCUUUAUAUUUCCUUUAAUUAUAUAUGGUGUUCGUGUUGUGUAUGUACUGUAGGGUUUGAAGGCUCUGAAUAACGCUUUGAAGGACAAAAUCUUUUGGUGCCAUGCCGAUAGCUAUCUUCCAGUUAUGUUGGAGCCAUCAAGCGAUGGUUAUCGGAGAUAUCGAGCCAUGCCGGUCGGCAAGCGUAUGGAUCGACCACCACCUGGUUCAAAGAAGAAAUGAGGUCGAAUUAAUCAAGUGAAAUUACUACGUGUGGCAGAUGAUGAUGAGUAAUCAAUCGUAUAUGGUUUUCUUAGGGUUCAUUUUGAUUACUCAAUGUGGUGUAGUAGUGUGUAGUAUAAGAAUUACCUACCAAGUAAGUUUGUGAACGUAGUUCAUGGCUCUUUCUGUUAUGAUGAAACUUGUCCAUAUUUCUAUCAUAUAUCCGGAAAGAACUUGGGAUAUCGAUUUUAAUAUUUGCGGAUUUUUCAACGUAUUUUAUAAAUGCUCCCAAUGCAUAAACAUGCCAUCUACUUGUCCUGAAUAUGACCACUAAUAACAAUGGACUAAAUUAUAAAAAUUGUUUUCUGAAUUUUGUAUUUUGUACGUUAUCCCUAGCUUUUUGAAACUUUCAAACCAGUUAAAAAAAUACCUUUACCAUUUCUUUUAGAGAAAUGCUACUAUUGUUUUAUUUAAAAAUUACACUUGAUAUAACUUAAAUAAAUUGUAAAAAACAAUUACAAUCUCGUUUGAGAAACAACUUGGAAUGAAAUAUCUUAUUGUGAUUCAUGUAUUAAAUAUCUAAUAUCUAUCCCACGAUAGCAAUACAGCAUCUAAGCCUAUCAACGAUUAUAAUCAAAUUUUGUAUUUUUUUCAUCUCUUGGUAUGACCUAUCUUUUUUUUAUCUACUAGUAAACAUGUGCCAUUCACGAGAAAAUCAACGAAAAAUCAUUUUUAUUAUAACUUUUAAUGUUUGUUUUAGUGAAAAUGAUUUUUUAACUUUUCAUCAUCUUAUUUUAACUUUUUUCAAAAUUUAAAAAGUCUCUCCAAUUAAUUAUAUCAUUUAAAUUUAUCCAAAUUCAUUCACAUUUCUCUUUCUCCUUUAAUUUGAUAUCUCCCAACUAAUUGCAUUUCAUUCUCUCGUAUUAACUCAUUUUGUAUAUCUUUCAACCUUUCAAAUUCUCUCUUCAAAUCUAUGAAUAUAAAUAUCCCACUUUUUCUGUUUUUCAUGAAUGUGCACAACAAAAUACUAAUACUAAGGGUAAAAUAAGAUAUUUUCAAAUCAAUGCUUUUCUAUUAUCUUCUAUUUUUUAAAAAAAUUCAUAAUUAAUUAUAUUAAAAAAAUAAAAUAAAAAAUAAAAUUACCAUAAAAUCAAAAAGUGAACCGAAACACACAAAAAUUGAAACCAUCAUUAUAAUAUUUUCAUAUUUAUAUUCACAUCGCAAUGAGUGAAAAAUGAAUUUAUUUAGUAAAAAAAAAUGUUGUCAUCUUUCGAAUGUAUCUUUGAAUUUGAUUUGUUUGUACAAUUCAAACUCCAUUUCUUAACAUCUUGAGCUUACAUGUUGCAAACUUAACCAUCUAAUCUAUAUAUAUCCAAAUAAAAUAGAAGAUAAAAAUGUUCUUAGUUGUGUAAUAACAUAUAACAUUAUGUAAUAUCUGUUAUGAAAGAUGGAAAAGUUACAUUAUGACUCUAAUAACAUAGAGCAUUAACUAUGAGAUCAAAAUUUUUCUUUUUUCAAAUAAGGAGAUGAAAAGUUAACAAAGUGUAACUUCUAUUUUGUUGAAUGUGAAAAUGAUCACAAACAUUAAAUCUAUCUGAACAAUAAAAUUACCACUAAAGCAACAUUAAAAAAAAUUAUAAUGAAAGGAUAAAACAUCCACCAAAAUCAUAUUUCUUUUGAAAUUAUGAAAUUAUAAAUGUGAAAUCAUAAUUUUUUAAAAUAAUUUUAUAGGUAAAAAAUUAAAGAAAAGACUUUAAUAUUUCUUGUUUUACACAUUUUAUUACUUUUAUUUAUCCUUAAUAAAUUUAAACAAUAUUUACAUUGUUUUAACAAAAUCAAAGUAUAAGCCAUCCAACUAUUUCAUUAAUAAAAUAGCUUUAAUAAAAAAAUUAAAUGAAGAAAAAAACAUGAGCAAGAUUUUCAUGGUUACAUUAGAAAAGGAUUCUCAAUACUACAUGAUUUAAACAUAAAGAGCAUAGACAUAUGUACAUGUCAAUCAUGAUAUCGGUGGUUCAAGUUUCCCCAAUCUAUGUUGGACACUAAAAGAAACCUAUAGAUGAAGAAAUAAACACAAGUAUACUUCUAUAUAUAAAAAAUAGACAACAAAAUAAAAAAAAGAAUAGAAGAGAAUAGAAAAACAUGAUUUGAUUUUUUCUUCCAUAACAUUUUGUUUGAUUUGUGAAUAUGAAUGAAAAAAAAUAGUAAGAUUUUUAUAAGAAAAUAAAAAGGAAGAAUUUGAAAGGUUGAAAGAGAUAGAGAAUAUGAAUAGUUGAGAGAUAGAAGAUUAAGGGAGAGAUGAGAAUAUGAAUGGAUUUGGAUAAAUUUAAAUAGUUAUAAUUAAUUGGAGUGAUUUUUUUUUUAAUUUAAAGAAAAGUUAUAAUAAGGAGAUGAAAAGUUAAAAAAAUAAUUUCCUCUACCAUUAAAAUGUAUAAUAAAAAUAAUACAAACAUUAAAUCUAUAUGAAUGACAAAAUUGCCACUAAAGCAAAACUAAAAUAAAAAGUGAUAUAAUAAAAUGGUAAAAUGGGGUAAAAAAAGAUUUCACCACUUCCAUCCUUUUAUAUAUACAGUAUUGAUGUUUUUAAAUGCUUUCUUACGUGAAUUAUCAUUGUGGGUAUGGUAGUAAAAUAAUAAUUUAUACUUAUCUCUGGAUGAAAGCAGAAAUUUUGCCUAUUGUUUGUCUAAUCGAGGAAAAGGGUAACAUCCCAUGGUGAUUUAUACUUCACAUUUGAAACUAACGUUCUCCCUUUGAAUGUGAUCAGUCCAAGUGUAGCAAUGUAACAGAGGCUAGUCCAAUUUUGUUUUCACCAACCAAAAUGCAACUGGAGAACAAAAUAAUUUAUUCAAUAAUAACAAUAAUUAUGGAAAAAUAAAUAAGUUAAAUUUAAUAAUAUGGAGUUCCAUCUCAAAAUCAAUUGACAAUGAAAAGAGUAGCUAAUCUAUAUUAUAUGAAGUGUGAAGUUCCAUUGUUUUUUCAACGUGGGACUCUUAACAUCUCCAACAAACAUUAGUAGAGUAGGAAAUGAAAGACGAAGAUACUCACCCUAAUAGAGGCCCAUCAUCCAAGGCUACUUGGCAACUGUGUCACAAGCAUGGACGUUCAUGCUGAAGUAUGUUAUUAUAGGUAUGGCAUGAUUUUCUGGAGGACAAUGACAGACUAGUUAAUUACAAAGUUCAAACCGAAAUUCAGCCUACAUAGCAACCCUUAAAGUUGCGACAAAUCCUAGUUGGCUUGCAGAUAAUGGGGCUACUACGCACUCAUAUAUUACCACAGAUCUUUGGUAACUUAACAUCAAAUCUGAAUAUCAUGCUAAAGAUACUCUAACUGUUGGUUUAUGCAAAAAACUCAAAGUUCAUCAUAUCAUGUCAUGUCAUGCUCUGCCCCCACCACACCUUCAUGUGACAAGAAGGAGGCGUACCAUCUAGACAUUUCACACAAGUUUCUCUGGAAGCAACGUGCCAAACACUUAGUAAGCAGAAUUUCUCAACCAAUCCUCACCAUAGAGCCCCAAUUUGAACUCGAAGGAUCAUUUCAACUCAUAACAACGGAACACUAAAACAAUCAAUCUUAACUUAAUCGCCUAGCCUUUAACACCUAAACCAAAACUACUAAGCGAUAAGCAAUAAAGACACUACAAGAAUUUUGGUCUUUGUCAACGCAAAAAAACGUGGGCAGAGCUUAUGCCAACUUAUUUUUUUUUUUUGCGCAGGCAUGUUGCAUGUCCAAUAAACCUCGUCGUCUUUUCCUUUUCUCACGUUUUUUGAUGUUACGUCGGCAGAACUGCAAAUGCAAAUUAAAAUCGUGGGCAAAGAAAAAAUUUCUGUCCACAAAAAAAUGUCGGUAAAAAAUAUUUUUACCCACGUUCAUCAUCAUGGCGCCAAAAAUAGACUUUUUAGCCUAAAAAAAACCGUUGGCGAAAGACCUUUUUACCCACGAUCAUCAUUACGUAAGUAGAAAUAAACUUUCUACCUUCUGCCUACGUGUGUUUCGUGGACAAAAACUAUUUCUGUCAAUAAAAAUAUUUUUGUCAGCAAAAAUAAAAUUUCUCCUUGUGAACAGAUAAUAUUUGUUUCUUUUUUGCCCACACACAAAACGUCGCUAGAGACUGCCAACAUAUUUCUAGCUAUACAAAAAACGUGGAAAAAAUGAUUUUAAUUUUUUUUACAUUUAUUAUUAAUGUUGUAUGUUUCUAGAUUAAUUUUCAAAUAUAGAAUGACUUUCUUGACUAUAACAAAACAUAUUGAACAUUGCAACAAAAAAUUUAAAAAUGAAAAUACUUCCAACAAUUAAUACUUUGUCAAAAUAUGACAAAUAAUAAUUCUUUGGUGUGUCAAGGUACAUGAGCCAUAAUAAAUUUUAUUUGGAUGUACCAAAAUGAACUAGAAAAUAUUAAAUACACAAAAAAUGGUUAAUUAAGUAAGAAAGUCUUAAAAAGAAUAGUCAUUUUCCGCUCCUUCAAGCUAUAUAGACCUAAAAAAAUGUAUAUUAAAAUGAAUAAAAACAUGCUAAAUCUUAACGUCUUGUUUCAAAUGAAUAAAUAUCAAAAUAAAUAAAGUAAAAUUAAAUACUAAAUGACCCAUAAAGUAUAAAAACAUAAAAAAGAAAACAAAAAACCAAAUGAUAUAUGUAUAAGACAAAAAAAUCUUCAUAUAGGAUUCCAACCAUCCAAAACCCGAAAAGAAUGUUAUGCAAAUGUUAAAAGAAGAUGCAAAUGGUUUAGUGUAACUUUCAAACCUAAAAUCAACCAAAAAAGACUAAAAAGUGUCUCUAGGUGACAUUUUAACUCUAAAAAAAACAUUUACAUGCCCAAGUGUGACUUUGGAACUAAAAUCCAACUAAAAAUGUGCUAAAAAUAUUAUCUUUAACUCUCAAAGCCGAUUUACAAAACAAGUUUCAAAUGCCUAACUGUGAUCAUAAAACACAAAACCAACUACAAUAAAUAAAAAAAGUGUCUGAGUGAUACUUCUACAAACCAUAAAAAAACUGUCAUAUACUUUUAAAUGCCACGUAUGUUUCUAAACAUUCAAGAACCUAAAAAUGUCAUUGUUUUCAAUCAAAACCACAAGUUUAAAGUCUAAAAAAAAGUGAAGGUUAAAAAAAGAUGGAAAAUAGCCCAAGUGUCUAAGUGUCUUAGUGAUACUUCUACAAACCAUCCAAAAACCUAACUAUGAAAUGUCACUAUAUGCAUGAGUGGCUACCAUAAUUGUAGAAUAACCACAAAAUAUGGGGAAUUGAAUCAGAUGACAAAAAAAUUUAGAAAAAAACAGUUCAUAUCACACUUUUUUUUUUUUUUGCAUAUUGCGAAUAAGACAAAUAUGACAAGUAAUUAAUGAUACGAGACAUUUAUCAAACGACUAUAAGACAAUUAUCGAAGAAUUAUCAGAUGGUUAUCUGCUCUUAAAUUUGCUAUUUUUGCAAUUUUAAAAAAAUGUAGUGACAUAGACCAUUUUAUCAUAACUUUUUUUGCUAUUUGUGCAAAUGCUCCACAAAAUAUUUCCACUCAAGUAAAAAAAUAAAUGUGAAAUAUAUGCAUGAUUGAUCAUUGUAACUUUAUGAUAGCCUCACACAAUAUUGAAACACAUGCUUUAACAAUAUUUUUUCAAAAAAAAUAUUUUAGUUUAGGAAAAUACCUAAUUGAAGGUGCAUCUUGAGAUCCAACUUUAUUAUUCUCCAAGUUCAAAAUCAUUAUAUAAAUCUCUUUACAAAAUCUUACCCACAAUGCAGUUUAAUCAAAGAUAAAUUCAUCACAUAAAACCAUUCCCCAUUCUCUUUAGCAAAACUCACUCAAUAAUUAAUUAAAUAACAUACACUAAGAUGCACACCUGAUACUCAAGUGAUUUACGCCUCCUCCCUCUUUCAUUUUGCAAUUUUUCAUGAUCAACUUCCUUUCUCUUUAAUCUACAAAAGGGAUAGACAUGAAGCAUUAGAUUCUGUGGCGUAGACAAUGCUCAAUUUACUGUAACCAGAAGAAUAACACUUAAAUGCCCCAAUUGAGUCCAACUAAAAAUUCAAAAAAAUAUCAAAUAACAAACGUUUAGAGGAAUUGUCUUUGCCACAUCACCUCUUAACAUAAUAAGAACAAAAAAGCAAAACACUUUACACUUUAACAGAACAAGCGAACAAAUAGCACAAACGCAUGAGAACAAAAAGAAGACUAAAUGUAGUAAAGGACAUUUACCUUCUUGUGUAUCCAUGCCAAUUUCUUCAAUUUACAGUAGUAAUCAAAGGUCAAACAAAACUCAAAAGCCCAAUUGAGCUAUCACAAAUUCUAAAGUAAGAAGCACACAUCCUUUGUAGUAUAAAACAAAUAAGAAAUUCAAGUGGAAUUUUCAUUUGAAAAAAUCAAUGUAAAUCUCAAUUUCAUAUAGAAACCCAAAUUUAGCAAUUACAUUAUCAACGAACUUACUUGCAUCCACAUUGAGUAAUAGAACAAUUAGAGAGCUUAUGACGAACAAAAUAGUGAUAAACCAAAGAACAACAAUACUCCAUAAAGUUUUUUUUUGCAUAAAUUGAGGGAACCUUUAUUAAAUCAAUGAUUUUGCAUAUUUGACAUUGUAACAUAUUGAACAUCAAUUCAUUCAAAUCCUUGAACACUAAUUUACUAACCUAGUAUAAAUUAUCUCCAAGUAAUGGUUGUAAAGAAACGUAAAAACCACCAUCUAUACAAGAGGAAAAAAUCUGAUGUUUCCCUACAAAAACAGAACAAGCUAUGAAAAGCUUACUUUGUACAUCUGUUAACAAUCAGAUUGACAAAUGAAGAAAGUUCAAAUAUUCAAUUUCUUUUAGUAGAAGGAGACCUUUCCAUUUCUUCAAGUUCUUCAUAUAAAAAGGUUCGCUUUCCUAACAACUAUUUCAAUUAACUAUCUCUAACAAUCCCCUUAAGCGUACUUUUGGUUCAGUUGAGUGCAAUCACAUUGUUCAAACUCUUUCAAUAUUAUUGAGCUGAAAGAUAUCCAUACCCAAUUAAACAACCUGCCAAUUGCAACUCCCAGAAUUAGAGCUUCUAUAGAUUCAAUAAUAAAAGUCUCUUUAAAUAUAUAUGGAAAAAAAUAUUGUACUAAUAUUAUUUGUUCAAAAUCACUUUAAAUAUAUAUAGAAAAAAUUAUUGUGCAAAUAUUAUUUUUUAAAAAGCCCUAGCCCCUUUCUACUCUAAACACGCGUGUUCCCCUUUCCCUCUCCAGCCGAAAUCCUUCCCAUUCGAAAAAAGUGUGUUCAGCGGUCGUCGUUCGCUUUCAACGCCUGUCCGUUCGCCUUCAACAUCUGUCCGUUCGAUUUCACCGUCGAGUUCCACCUCUUCGAAUCCCUCACGUCCGUCAUUUCAAAGUCCUCCGUCCGCUGCAUUCCAUCUUUCCAAAAUCCCUCAGUGCCUCACGUUGCUGCACGCCCGUCAUUUCGACUUCACCAACGAGUGCCUCACGUUCGUCGCUUCAAAAUCCAUCAUCCACUAAGUUGAGGUUAGGCUUUUAUUUCCCUAAAACAUAUAACAAUUUCAUUAUUCUUCAUUAUAUAAACUCAGAUGGCAUGAUUGGCAAUAAUAGAUAGGAAGGAUGGAGGUGUAAACUUCGAAUUGAUUGAAAUUAGUAUACUUUUAUUCAAUCUUUAAAGUAUUGUAGUUUUUCUUCACCAUCAAAUUUUAUUAGGAUUUAAAGAAAACAAAUGAAUGUAUGAACAAAUUUUUGGGAGUGCAAGCCAUAUAAUCAACUUCCCUCUUUCAGUAAUUUUGAAGAUAUCAUAUAACAAUACUACUAAUUGAGAGCUUUGGAGGAUAAGUCAAUUAUUCUCCCUUCGUGAAGAGAAAAAGAAAAAAAGAUCAUGUAUUCUCUUUGUUUGUUACCUUAGGCUGUUCAAGAUUUUGCCUUCUUCCUGAAUAAUUUGGAGGUGUUUUAACUAAUUUCUUCAUUCACCCUCUUUUUGCCAUUGUUGCUUUUGUGUGCAGCUUGAGAUUUACUGUGAAGAUAAGGAUAGCGCAAGGAAAUAUGAGAUUGAGGCACUUGGAGGACAAACAACUUCAUAAACCACGUUUUUAGUGCAUUUUAUGAUAGAUUGAAAGAGGUCAGUGACAAUAUUUCAUUAGACUAUUGUCUAUGCACAUUAGAAUUAAUGUACAUCUUCCAUAUGAAAGUUGGCAAAUGAAUUUAGAAGUGAAAAUAGAGAAAAAGAGGUGGAGUUUAAGCACAACAUUAUGUUAUUAUUAAUUCAUAUAAAUUAGAAAACUAUUGUACUAUAGCAAAAGUUUGAGGUUUAUUAAAACAAUUACAAAGUAAGCUUGUAAUUUUUACACCAAAUGUUCACUAUUAAAUAGGUUCAGGAAUUAGAUAAGAAUAAUUCAAUUGUGUGUUUUUACUUUUUUCUAUUGGGUGAAUUCUGUUUUGAUUUUUUUUAAGCUAAAUAUAAUUAAUUGUUUCCUAUGGAACCAUAACCUUGAUCUUGGUUAUUGAUUUCAUUUUAAGGUAAAAGUAAAACCACUCUUAUUUGAAUGAUUAUGUUGUAUUAUCCAUUGAAAGACUUGGUGUUGUAAUUGCCUUGUCUUCCUCAGGUAUUCUGUUGUAUGGUUGAUUACGAUCUUCAUGACUGGAAUCUUUGUUUAGUGAUGCUCAUUUUUUUUGACUUACCCAGCCAUGCAAUAACUUUCUUUCUUAUGAUCACUUUAAAAAAGAAAUGAGUUUAGUUAGUUCUUUUAAUUUUCUUAAGUUUCAUUUAUAAUGCAUGAAAAUCUCUUAGCAGUAGAAACUGAAGACCAUAAUUGUAGAAGAUUUGAAUAGAUUGGAUUCACAUUCUCAACAUUGGUUAUACAGGGCAUUACUUAUCAUUGUCCUUCCACUUUAAUUAUCAAUAGUGACAAUAACUUUAUUUCUCAUUAGAUUUACAAUGAUGGAUAAAUCUUGGAUGCACAAGAGUAGAUUGUCUAAAGAUUAUGAGUUGGGUGUGGAAAACUUCAUCAAAUUUGGAUUUUCUAAUACAACUAGCUCCUAUAUUCGUUGUCCUUGUUUGAAAUGUGGGAAUUGUGAAAAACAUAGUAGAAAGGGUGUUAGAGAUCACUUGUAUGUUAAUGGUAUUGAUGAAAGUUAUAAAAUUUGGUUUUGGCAUGGGGAAGAACUUCCUAACUCAUCCUUCUAUGAUGAAUCUUCAAAGUUUGACAUCCAUACAUGUGAAGAUCAGUAUGUUGGAAGUGUAAAAGAAAUGAUUGAAGUUACUCAUGAGGAGUAUUCAAAAAACCCAACUGGAUUUGAGAAGUUGCUUAUUGAUGCUGAAAAACCAUUGUACGAAGGAUGCAAAAAGUACACAAAGUUGUCUACUCUAGUCAAAUUGUAUAAUUUAAAAGUUAGGUAUGGAUGGAGUGAUCAUACUAGUUUUUUAGAAUUACUUGAAACUUUGAAGGAAAUUCUGCCUACUACCAAUGAGCUCCCGAAUUCAUUGUAUGAAGCAAAGAAGACAUUAGGUGCAUUAGGAAUGGAAUACGAAAAGAUUCAUGCAUGCCCGAAUAAUUGUUGUCUCUAUAGAAAAGAAUUUUCUAAUGCAAUUGAAUGUCCUGAAUGUGGUCAAUCAAGGUGGAAAAACGUCAAGGAUACAAAUGAAAGGAGAAAGCAAAUUCCCUCUAAAGUGAUAUGGUACUUUCCAAUCAUUCCACGAUUUAAAAGGCUAUUCAGAAGCAUUGAAUGUGCUGAAAACUUGACUUGGCAUUCUACUGAAAGAAUUAAUGAUUGUAAGUUACGACAUCCAGCAUGGAAGUUAGUAGACAUGAAAUGGCCAGACUUCGGUUUUGAACCCAGAAAUCUUCGUUUAGCAUUGUCAGCCGAUGGAGUAAAUCCUCAUGGUGACAUGAGUUCUAAAUACAGUUGUUGGCCGGUAGUGAUGGUUAUUUACAAUCUUCCGCCAUGGUUGUGUAUGAAAAGAAAGUACAUGAUGCUAUCAAUGCUAAUUACAGGACCAAAACAACCAGAGGAUGACAUAGGCAUAUACUUAGCACCACUAAUUGAAGAUUUAAAACUUUUAUGGGAAAGUGGUGUUGAAUGUUAUGAUGCUUAUCAAGAAGAACCAUUCAACUUAAGGUCAGUUUUGUUGUGGACAAUCAAUGAUUUUUCUGCAUAUGGUAACCUUAGUGGAUGUUGUGUGAAAGGGUAUAAAGCAUGCCCAAUUUGUGGAGAUAAUACAAAUUCUAUAAGGUUAAAGUAUGGGAAGAAAAUGACAUACCUUGGACAUCGUAGAUUUUUGGCGCGAAAUCAUCCGUAUCGACGACAAAAGAAGUCAUUCCACUUAACAUAGAAUUGCUUCAAGCUAAGCACACUUAACUUUGGAGUUCCUAUCAUUGAGCCACCGAAAAGGAAGGUGUAGCUUGUUGGUAUAGAUAUUAACUUUUAUUUCUUUUAAGUCUUUCUUAACAUUACUUUCCUGUCCUCAAGAUCCCUCUCAUUAGAACGUGAUAUCGGUUCAUUCAUGCCUCUCUCCUACUCUCAAAUGUUAUAUUGUUAAAGUGGAGUGAAGUUACAAUUACAUCUAAAUAAUUCAGAGGUCAUGCAUUUUCUUUUUUCUUUUUAAGAAAACUAUAAUAUUUAAUUAUUUAAAAGAAGUGAAGAAAUGGACCAAAACCGACUGAUCGCUAGAAUCGGUUGAAAGUCGGUUUUGUUGACCAGAAUGGCAACCGAAAUUAGUUCUGCCAUUCCCAUACCGACUUGUGGUCGGUCAGAGUCGGUUUGGCUAGAAAACCGACUCCGACCGAUCCUUGAUCACCCCUAGUUUCUUUAUAAUUCUUUUUAAAAACUUUGUUACGUUUGUAAUUGUUUUAGCACGACAUAAUUUUAUUGUCACAUAAUCUAUAUUUCCAACUUGAAUCUAUAUUUCCAACUUUCCAACUUUUAUAUUGUCAAUAUAUUACAUAUAUUCUGAUAGUUUCCUUAAAUCUUGUCAAUACACAUAAUUUUCACCAACUAAUUCUCUUUUAACACAAAAUUGGUAUGCAUGUAAAUAAGAAGUUUCAUAUUUAACAAUAAUAUAGAUAGAAUUUUUAUAAAGAAACUAAGUUCAAUAAAUCUAUUGAAUAUUUCCAAAUGGACAAAUAUAAGCAAAUUAGUAACAAAAACCUUGGUAACGUUUUUACGAAGAAACUAAAUACAACAAGAUAUUGUCGGGAAUAUUAUACUUUGUUGUAUUUAGUUUCUUUGUAAAAAUAUUACAAAGAUUUUAGUUACUAACCAAAUGUCAAUCAAUUGUUUGGUAACUUCAUCAGCAUAGUUUAUCAUAUUCGUGCAAGACCUAAUAAAAACAUAAAACGAAACCUUAAAUCAACAAUAUGUGAAUCCGCCGUUAACUACAAUAGAAAGUUUUCAAGAGUUAAAAUGACCUAAGUGAAACUUGAGAACCAAAAACUAACAAAACAAUCUUAAACUUUAAGGCAAAAAUUUAACAAAACGUACCACGACAAAGAUGUGAGUAAAACACUUUAACAGAAUUCUAGUGUAAUCCAUUUAAUCACAACAAAAUAAGAUAUCUAUGAGCUGGUAAUACAUUCUCAAUGUUGCAUUUUCAUAAAAAUCUAACAAGAACCCUACUUAAUAGUUUCUUAUAUUUACACAGUAUAGAAUAAUUUUGAAAAAGAAAAAAGCUCAUAUCGUACGAAAUACCUAAAAUACCCCACGAUUAAUUAGUCACACACGCUCACAAAAAAUUUGGUACAUGAUAAUUUAAAUAUUUGUACACGAUCGUGUACCAAAUCUAAACAAUCUUGGUACAUGAUCUUGUAACAAUUCUAAACGAACUUGGUAAACAGUCUUCGAAUAUGAUCAUGAACAUGGAUCGUUUAGAUAUUGGUACACGAUCACUUACUAAGAUCUAAAUGAUCGAUCGUGUACAAAUUUGAAAAUGAUCUUGGUUCACGAUGUACGAAGACCAUUUAUAUUUAGUACAUAAUCGUGUACCAAUAUCGUUAAGAUUUAGUAUACGAUUGUUUAGUUCUAUCAAAGAAAAUAUAUGUGAGAUGACGAAGAAAAAGAAAUCCUGGAGGAGGAAAUGAAUUAAUCACGAACAAGAACAAAUGAAAGAAUGAAACAUAAGAAGUAAUAAUAUGAAAAAAUUAAUAUUAUGAAAAGGAGAUGAAUAGACCACAAAGAAGUGAAAAAUCGUUCGCACUGUCAAAGACAAUGCUGAAAUUUAUGAAAAUAUUUUAUCGGCUUCAUUGGCUUUUUGAUUUUUUACACUAGCCGUAAAUAUUUUGAUGUUUUAUAUAUUUAUGAAAAUUAAAAAAUUAAAACUAAUUUUAAUUUGAGAGAAGUUUAUUUGGUUUUUGAAAAUAUAGAUAACAAACCAAUAGAUUUAUUAGUGGUUAUAAAGCUCUUAAAUAGAUUUUAAAAAACUAAACAACUUUUUACAAUUUUUGGAAUAAGAUAAAAACUCCUUGAGAGCGGAUAAAAAAGAAACAACUAAUAAAUGUCUCGUCUUUGAAAGAUAAAAACAUCAAUCAUAAUACAAUUUAUUUUUCCAACAUCGUCAAAUAAAUUAAUAAAAAUUUAUAUCAAAUUACAAAAACUUUCGAAGAAAAAAACAACUCAUGACACUUAUUUUUUUGCAUAUUGCGAAUAUGACAAAAUUAAUAAUAUCAGACGACUAUCAAACGGUAAUUCAUUAGAAUAUCGAAAGGCUAUCAGACGAUAACUAUAAAGUUAUCGACUUUUAAUUUUGCUACUUCUGCAAUUUAGAAAAUGUAGUGUUAUAAAACCUUAUUAUCGUUAUUUUUUUACUAUUUUUACAAGGCCCCUAAAUUAAUUUGCAAAAUCGAAUGUAAAAUAAAUUAAAAUAACAUUACUUUGAGAAAAAGAAAUCAAACACUUUUCUUGAUCUAACUUAAUAACUGCUUUCGUGAUCUAAUUUCCAAGUUCAUGGUAUUUUUGUCAUUUAGUUCUUGUGAACUAAUUCUUCAUGACAACAAUUAAACAAAAAUUUGUUGUUUUCAAUAUCAUACCAAUGGCGGCCAGAACACAUCGACCAUCAUCAACAAAAUUAUCCCAAACCGAAGCUCCAACCUAUUUAAACAUAUCACGAGGCCUUUCAAUGUAUCUCAUCUCUUCAUAACAAAAACUUCAAAUCAUCUUAUCAAAGGGAAAAAAAAUGGCUACUUCAAGGUUCUUGAUCAUGUGCCUUUACGGCUACUUUGGCUCUCUCAAGCAUCAAUUUCGGCCAUGCUGCUCGCCAUCUUUCGCAAACCACUCCGCCCUUGGUGCCAAAUCUUCCAGCAAUUCCAACUCUGAUACCGCCAUUGCCUGGCUUGCCAAACCCUACUCUUCUCAAAGUUACCACAACCGACAUUACCGAAGAUUAAUUUUCCUCCACUUCCAAUCGGGCUAGCGUUGCCACCGCUUCCGACAAUGACACUUCCAAAGUUUCCACCAAUCCCUACCAUUCCAAUUUCAUUUCCUUCCAUCCCAUUUUUGUCCCCUCCUCCUGCGACAUCUUCUUCUCCAUAAACUUGGUUUGGUUAUUAUUUAACUUAUGCAGCCCCAAUUGUUGUUGGUUAAUUAGUGUAAGGGUGAAGUUGUAAUGUUUUAUCUAUAACUUAUAACUGUGUGUUUUAAUUUCAAUAUUUAUGUCUUUUGUAAGAUUGAGGUUCAAACCUCCAUGGACUAUCAUAUUACUGUUCUAUUUGAUCAAGUCUAUUCUUGUACUACCAAUACGACAAACGGUUCUUAAUUUUGAUUUUUAAUAAAUUUUGUCUCGACCUCUCGUUUCCAUCGAGAUCACCACCACGUAGUGGUGGAUCUAGUAAAUGCAAGAAGUGGACCUUGAAAGUAGGUACAACGAGCGUUAAAAUUUUUUUUACCACCGGCCUAACUUCUAAAAUUGUUAGAGUUCAUUUUUUUUUAUACGUAUAUGUAAUAUAAAAAUAAUAUAAAGUAGAGAGGUCCCUCUAGAUCUAUACUAAAUCCUAAAGACGUCUAUGGGACGGGGUGGGGCUGGGAUGACACUCUCUAUCCCCACCCCUCGUCCCGUUGUUGAUCCCCCCAAAUUUGUGUGCAAGGAAUGGGGCAAGGAUUCCCCACAGGGAUCGGGUUCUUCACGUGGAAAUAGUGUCGGGGAAUAUCCCUGUCUUCCAAUUUUCAUCAAGAAAAAAAUACUCCCCACUCCCUCCACAUUUCUCAUGAAUUCAAAGUUUUCCGACUCGUUUGAGGUGGAUCCCCACCUAGCCUUGACCCUUGGCUUAAAUGGACACCUCUAGGCUUAAAUGGACACCUCUAGUUGGUGCCAUCCAUGUUUCAAUAUUUAUGCAAGAAUAAAGUUUUAAAAUGUUGAUAUCGUUAGAAAUGUGUCGAGGUCUCAACUGUACGAAAUUAUCGAUAGAUAUAUAACUAUGAUAUUGACAUUGAUGGAUUUUUCCUAAAUAUAUAGAAAAAGAUUAAAGAAAUAAUAUUUGUUGUAAAGUGAUCGCGACAUAGAGCGGUCGAUGUCCUUGUUUAUUUAAUCUUAAAAAAUAAAUAGGUUCGGAGUUGCCACCAAGCAUAUUAAGGUGUGAUUGGUCACCUAAAGAUUUAAUAAAAUGGCUUACAUGAAUUCUUGUUUAGGUUCGAGAGUCAGUUAUGUGUAGGAGGUGUUAGCACCUUACAACACCCAUCAAAAUGGAAAAUAUGAUCUAAUAAAUAAAUUAUGUCACAUCAUCACAGUAAAUAUGAUCCAAUAAAUAAAUGGGCUCAAGCCCAAGUUCAAGAAGUGGAUGGGCCCAAGUCCAAGCCCAAUUUGCAAAUAGGCUCAAGUCCAAGCCCAACAAGCAAAUGGGCUAGAGUCUAAGCCCACCAAGCAAAUGAGCUCAAGCCCACCUAAAGCCCAUAAAAUUUCUCUAUAAAUAGAGACCCUUGCCAUUCAUUUUAGAGGGUCUUUAGUUGAAUGAAUAAUUAAAGCUCUGAAGUACUGAAACUCUGAAGAAUUGAAGAUUAAAACUUCUAUAAAGCUCUCAAGACGUGUAAGUUCUUAUCAACUUCGAGAUCAUCAUCUUCUGAAAGUUUGAAGACUUGGAAGAUCAAACUUUUCUUGAAUUCCAGAAGACUGAAGCUCAAAUAGACUUGCAACUACAACAUCCUAAAGACCGAAGAUCAAGAAGUUCUAAGUUUUUAACUUGUAUUCGAGGGAAAGCAUCCAAGGAGUAAAUACUAGAGAUUGUAUUCACAAUAUUCAUCAAUAUAACAAAGUUCAAUUUUACGAAAUACGUUUCUUCGAAAUCUCGUGUGAACACUUAUUAUUGCGAAAGUCCUCUCCACAAACUAACACGAGUCAUUUCUGUAUGUUUUGUCUUCACUCAUAUGCAUUAUAGGAAUGUUUCCAGAAUGCCACCCAACUAUAAUUGCUCUAAGCUAAGCACACUUAACUUUUAACUUCCUAUGAUUGAGCCACCGAAAAGGAAGGUGCAGCUUGUUGGUAUAGAAAUUAACUUUUAUUUCUUUUAAGUCUUUCUUAAACAUUACUUUCAUGUCCUCAAGAUAUAUCCCUCUCAUUAGAAUGUGAUAUCGUUUCAUUCAUGUCUCUCUCCUAAUCUCGGACGUUACACUGUUAAAGUGGAGUGAAGUUACAAUUACAUCCAAAUAAUUCAGAGGUCAUGCAUUUUCAUUUUUUUUUUUAAAAAACACUAUAAUAUUUAAUUAUUUAAAAGAAGUGAAGAAAUCGAAAAAACCGACUGAUCGCCAAAAUCGGUUCAAAGUCGGUUUUGUUGGUCAGAAUCGUAGUCGAAAUCAGUUCUGCCAUUCCCAUACCAACUUGUGGUCGGUUGGAGUCGAUUUGGCUAGAAACCGACUCCGAACGAUAUCGUUCAUCACCUCUAGUUUCUUUAUAAUUCUUUAAAAAAAUUCGAUAAACUUUGUUAUGUUUGUAAUUGUUCUAUCACGACAUAAUUUUAUUGUCACAUAAUCCAUAUUUCCAACUUUUAUAUUGUCAAUAUAUUUCAUAUAUUAUGAUAGUUUCUUUAAAUCUUGUCAUUACACAUAGUUUUCACCAUCAACUAAUUCUCUUUUAACAUAAAAUUCAUAUGCAUGUAAAUAAGAAGUUUCAUAUAUAUCAAUAACAUAGAUAGCAUUUUUAUAAAGAAACUAAGCUCAAUGAAUCUAUCGAAUAUCCCCAAACGGACAAAUAUAAGCAAGUUAGUAACUAAAACCUUGGUAACCUUUUUUAAAAGAAACUAAAUACAACAAGAUAUUAUCGAGAAUAUUAUACCGAUCGUGUACCAAGCCUAAACAAUCUUGGUACAUGAUCUUGUAACAAUUCUAAACGAAGUUGGUAAACAAUCUUCGUACAUGAUCAUGAACAUGGAUCGUUUAGAUAUUGGUACACGAUCGCUUACUAAGAUCUAAAUAAUCGAUCGUGUACCAAUUUGUAAAUGAUCUUGGUUCACGAUGUACGAAGAUCAUUUAUAUUUAGUACAUAAUCGUGUACCAAUAUCGUUUAGAUUUGGUACACGAUCGUUUAGUUUUAUUAGAGAAAAUAUAUGAGAGAUGACGAAGAAAAGGAAAUUCUGGAGGAGGAAAUGAAGAAAUCACGAACAAGAACAAAUGGAAAUAUGGACAUAAGAAGUAAUAAUAUGAAGAAAUUAAUAUUAUGAAAAGGAGAUGAAAAAAACACAAAGAAGUGAAAAAUCAUCCGCAAUGUCAAAGACAAUGCUGAAAUUUAUGAAAAUAUUUUAUCGACUUUUUAAUUUUUUACACUAGCCAUAAAUAUUUUGGUGUUUUAUAUAUUUAUGAAAAUUAACCAAAAUGAAAACUACUUAUUCUAAUUUGAAAGAAUUUGAUUUGGUUUUUUAAAACCUAGAUAACAAACCAAUAGAUUUAUUAGUGGGUAUAAAGCUCUUAAAUAGAUUUUAAAAAACUAAACAACUUUUUACAAUUUUUGGAAUAAGAUAAAAACUCCUUGAGAGCGGAUAAAAAAAGAAACAACUAAUAAAUGUCUCGUCUUUGAAAGAUAAAAACAUCAAUCAUAAUACAAUUUAUUUUUCCAACAUCGUCAAAUAAAUUAAUAAAAAUUUAUAUCAAAUUACAAAAACUUUCGAAGAAAAAAACAACUCAUGACACUUAUUUUUUGCAUAUUGCGAAUAUGACAAAAUUAAUAAUAUCAGACGACUAUCAAACGGUAAUCAUUAGAAUAUCGAAAGGCUAUCAGACGAUAACUAUAAAGUUAUCGACUUUUAAUUUUGCUACUUCUGAAAUUUAGAAAAUGUAGUGUUAUAAACCUUAUUAUCGUUAUUUUUUUACUAUUUUUACAAGGCCCCUAAAUUAAUUUGCAAAAUCGAAUGUAAAAUAAAUUAAAAUAACAUUACUUUGAGAAAAAGAAAUCAAACACUUUUCUUGAUCUAACUUAAUAACUGCUUUCGUGAUCUAAUUUCCAAGUUCAUGGUAUUUUUGUCAUUUAGUUCUUGUGAACUAAUUCUUCAUGACAACAAUUAAACAAAAAUUUGUUGUUUUCAAUAUCAUACCAAUGGCGGCCAGAACACAUCGACCAUCAUCAACAAAAUUAUCCCAAACCGAAGCUCCAACCUAUUUAAACAUAUCACGAGGCCUUUCAAUGUAUCUCAUCUCUUCAUAACAAAAACUUCAAAUCAUCUUAUCAAUGGGAAAAAAAAUGGCUACUUCAAGGUUCUUGAUCAUUGCCUUUACGGCUACUUUGGCUCUCUCAAGCAUCAAUUUCGGCCAUGCUGCUCGCCAUCUUUCGCAAACCACUCCGCCCUUGGUGCCAAAUCUUCCAGCAAUUCCAACUCUGAUACCGCCAUUGCCUGGCUUGCCAAACCCUACUCUUCCAAAGUUACCACAACCGACAUUACCGAAGAUUAAUUUUCCUCCACUUCCAAUCGGGCUAGCGUUGCCACCGCUUCCGACAAUGACACUUCCAAAGUUUCCACCAAUCCCUACCAUUCCAAUUUCAUUUCCUUCCAUCCCAUUUUUGUCCCCUCCUCCUGCGACAUCUUCUUCUCCAUAAACUUGGUUUGGUUAUUAUUUAACUUAUGCAGCCCCAAUUGUUGUUGGUUAAUUAGUGUAAGGGUGAAGUUGUAAUGUUUUAUCUAUAAUUUAUCUAUAACUUAUAACUGUGUGUUUUAAUUUCAAUAUUUAUGUCUUUUGUAAGAUUGAGGUUCAAACCUCCAUGGACUAUCAUAUUACUGUUCUAUUUGAUCAAGUCUAUCUUGUACUACCAAUACGACAAACGGUUCUUAAUUUUGAUUUUUAAUAAAUUUUGUCUCGACCUCUCGUUUCCAUCGAGAUCACCACCACGUAGUGGUGGAUCUAGUAAAUGCAAGAAGUGGACCUUGAAAGUAGGUACAACGAGCGUUAAAAUUUUUUUUACCACCGGCCUAACUUCUAAAAUUGUUAGAGUUCAUUUUUUUUUAUACAUAUAUGUAAUAUAAAAAUAAUAUAAAGUAGAGAGGUCCCUCUAGAUCUAUACUAAAUCCUAAAGACGUCUAUGGGACGGGGUGGGGCUGGGAUGACACUCUCUAUCCCCACCCUCGUCCCGUUGUUGAUCCCCCCAAAUUUGUGUGCAAGGAAUGGGGCAAGGAUUCCCCACAGGGAUCGGGUUCUUCACGUGGAAAUAGUGUCGGGGAAUAUCCCUGUCUUCCAAUUUUCAUCAAGAAAAAAAUACUCCCCACUCCCUCCACAUUUCUCAUGAAUUCAAAGUUUUCCGACUCGUUUGAGGUGGAUCCCCACCUAGCCUUGACCCUUGGCUUAAAUGGACACCUCUAGGCUUAAAUGGACACCUCUAGUUGGUGCCAUCCAUGUUUCAAUAUUUAUGCAAGAAUAAAGUUUUAAAAUGUUGAUAUCGUUAGAAAUGUGUCGAGGUCUCAACUGUACGAAAUUAUCGAUAGAUAUAUAACUAUGAUAUUGACAUUGAUGGAUUUUUCCUAAAUAUAUAGAAAAAGAUUAAAGAAAUAAUAUUUGUUGUAAAGUGAUCGCGACAUAGAGCGGUCGAUGUCCUUGUUUAUUUAAUCUUAAAAAAUAAAUAGGUUCGGAGUUGCCACCAAGCAUAUUAAGGUGUGAUUGGUCACCUAAAGAUUUAAUAAAAUGGCUUACAUGAAUUCUUGUUUAGGUUCGAGAGUCAGUUAUGUGUAGGAGGUGUUAGCACCUUACAACACCCAUCAAAAUGGAAAAUAUGAUCUAAUAAAUAAAUUAUGUCACAUCAUCACAGUAAAUAUGAUCCAAUAAAUAAAUGGGCUCAAGCCCAAGUUCAAGAAGUGGAUGGGCCCAAGUCCAAGCCCAAUUUGCAAAUAGGCUCAAGUCCAAGCCCAACAAGCAAAUGGGCUAGAGUCUAAGCCCACCAAGCAAAUGAGCUCAAGCCCACCUAAAGCCCAUAAAAUUUCUCUAUAAAUAGAGACCCUUGCCAUUCAUUUUAGAGGGUCUUUAGUUGAAUGAAUAAUUAAAGCUCUGAAGUACUGAAACUCUGAAGAAUUGAAGAUUAAAACUUCUAUAAAGCUCUCAAGACGUGUAAGUUCUUAUCAACUUCGAGAUCAUCAUCUUCUGAAAGUUUGAAGACUUGGAAGAUCAAACUUUUCUUGAAUUCCAGAAGACUGAAGCUCAAAUAGACUUGCAACUACAACAUCCUAAAGACCGAAGAUCAAGAAGUUCUAAGUUUUUAACUUGUAUUCGAGGGAAAGCAUCCAAGGAGUAAAUACUAGAGAUUGUAUUCACAAUAUUCAUCAAUAUAACAAAGUUCAAUUUUACGAAAUACGUUUCUUCGAAAUCUCGUGUGAACACUUAUUAUUGCGAAAGUCCUCUCCACAAACUAACACGAGUCAUUUCUGUAUGUUUUGUCUUCACUCAUAUGCAUUAUAGGAAUGUUUCCAGAAUGCCACCCAACUAUAAUUGCUCUAAGCUAAGCACACUUAACUUUUAACUUCCUAUGAUUGAGCCACCGAAAAGGAAGGUGCAGCUUGUUGGUAUAGAAAUUAACUUUUAUUUCUUUUAAGUCUUUCUUAACAUUACUUUCAUGUCCUCAAGAUAUAUCCCUCUCAUUAGAAUGUGAUAUCGUUUCAUUCAUGUCUCUCUCCUAAUCUCGGACGUUACACUGUUAAAGUGGAGUGAAGUUACAAUUACAUCCAAAUAAUUCAGAGGUCAUGCAUUUUCAUUUUUUUUUUUAAAAAACACUAUAAUAUUUAAUUAUUUAAAAGAAGUGAAGAAAUCGAAAAAACCGACUGAUCGCCAAAAUCGGUUCAAAGUCGGUUUUGUUGGUCAGAAUCAUAGUCGAAAUCAGUUCUGCCAUUCCCAUACCAACUUGUGGUCGGUUGGAGUCGAUUUGGCUAGAAACCGACUCCGAACGAUAUCGUUCAUCACCUCUAGUUUCUUUAUAAUUCUUUAAAAAAAUUCGAUAAACUUUGUUAUGUUUAUAAUUGUUCUAUCACGACAUAAUUUUAUUGUCACAUAAUCCAUAUUUCCAACUUUUAUAUUGUCAAUAUAUUUCAUAUAUUAUGAUAGUUUCUUUAAAUCUUGUCAUUACACAUAGUUUUCACCAUCAACUAAUUCUCUUUUAACAUAAAAUUCAUAUGCAUGUAAAUAAGAAGUUUCAUAUAUAUCAAUAACAUAGAUAGCAUUUUUAUAAAGAAACUAAGCUCAAUGAAUCUAUCGAAUAUCCCCAAACGGACAAAUAUAAGCAAGUUAGUAACUAAAACCUUGGUAACCUUUUUUAAAAGAAACUAAAUACAACAAGAUAUUAUCGAGAAUAUUAUACCGAUCGUGUACCAAGCCUAAACAAUCUUGGUACAUGAUCUUGUAACAAUUCUAAACGAAGUUGGUAAACAAUCUUCGUACAUGAUCAUGAACAUGGAUCGUUUAGAUAUUGGUACACGAUCGCUUACUAAGAUCUAAAUAAUCGAUCGUGUACCAAUUUGUAAAUGAUCUUGGUUCACGAUGUACGAAGAUCAUUUAUAUUUAGUACAUAAUCGUGUACCAAUAUCGUUUAGAUUUGGUACACGAUCGUUUAGUUUUAUUAGAGAAAAUAUAUGAGAGAUGACGAAGAAAAGGAAAUUCUGGAGGAGGAAAUGAAGAAAUCACGAACAAGAACAAAUGGAAAUAUGGACAUAAGAAGUAAUAAUAUGAAGAAAUUAAUAUUAUGAAAAGGAGAUGAAAAAAACACAAAGAAGUGAAAAAUCAUCCGCAAUGUCAAAGACAAUGCUGAAAUUUAUGAAAAUAUUUUAUCGACUUUUUAAUUUUUUACACUAGCCAUAAAUAUUUUGGUGUUUUAUAUAUUUAUGAAAAUUAACCAAAAUGAAAACUACUUAUUCUAAUUUGAAAGAAUUUGAUUUGGUUUUUUAAAACCUAGAUAACAAACCAAUAGAUUUAUUAGUGGGUAUAAAGCUCUUAAAUAGAUUUUAAAAAACUAAACAACUUUUUACAAUUUUUGGAAUAAGAUAAAAACUCCUUGAGAGCGGAUAAAAAAGAAACAACUAAUAAAUGUCUCGUCUUUGAAAGAUAAAAACAUCAAUCAUAAUACAAUUUAUUUUUCCAACAUCGUCAAAUAAAUUAAUAAAAAUUUAUAUCAAAUUACAAAAACUUUCGAAGAAAAAAACAACUCAUGACACUUAUUUUUUUGCAUAUUGCGAAUAUGACAAAAUUAAUAAUAUCAGACGACUAUCAAACGGUAAUCAUUAGAAUAUCGAAAGGCUAUCAGACGAUAACUAUAAAGUUAUCGACUUUUAAUUUUGCUACUUCUGCAAUUUAGAAAAUGUAGUGUUAUAAACCUUAUUAUCGUUAUUUUUUUACUAUUUUUACAAGGCCCCUAAAUUAAUUUGCAAAAUCGAAUGUAAAAUAAAUUAAAAUAACAUUACUUUGAGAAAAAGAAAUCAAACACUUUUCUUGAUCUAACUUAAUAACUGCUUUCGUGAUCUAAUUUCCAAGUUCAUGGUAUUUUUGUCAUUUAGUUCUUGUGAACUAAUUCUUCAUGACAACAAUUAAACAAAAUUUUUUUGUUUUCAAUAUCAUACCAAUGGCGGCCAGAACACAUCGACCAUCAUCAACAAAAUUAUCCCAGACCGAAGCUCCAACCUAUUUAAACAUAUCACGAGGCCUUUCAAUGUAUCUCAUCUCUUCAUAACAAAAACUUCAAAUCAUCUUAUCAAAGGGAAAAAAAAUGGCUACUUCAAGGUUCUUGAUCAUUGCCUUUACGGCUACUUUGGCUCUCUCAAGCAUCAAUUUCGGCCAUGCUGCUCGCCAUCUUUCGCAAACCACUCCGCCCUUGGUGCCAAAUCUUCCAGCAAUUCCAACUCUGAUACCGCCAUUGCCUGGCUUGCCAAACCCUACUCUUCCAAAGUUACCACAACCGACAUUACCGAAGAUUAAUUUUCCUCCACUUCCAAUCGGGCUAGCGUUGCCACCGCUUCCGACAAUGACACUUCCAAAGUUUCCACCAAUCCCUACCAUUCCAAUUUCAUUUCCUUCCAUCCCAUUUUUGUCCCCUCCUCCUGCGACAUCUUCUUCCCCAUAAACUUGGUUUGGUUAUUAUUUAACUUAUGCAGCCCCAAAUGUUGUUGGUUAAUUAGUUUAAAGGUGGAGUUGUAAAGUUUUAUUUAUAACUCAUAACUGUGUGUUUUAAUUUCAAUAUUUAUGUUUUUUGUAAGAUUGAGGUUCAAACCUCCAUGGACUAUCAUAUUACUGUUCUAUUUGAUCAAGUCUAUCUUGUACUACCUAUACGACAAACUGUUCUUAAUUUUGAUUUUUAAUAAAUUUUGUCUCAACCUCUCGUUUCCAUCGAGAUCACCACCUGUAGUGGUGGAUCGAGUAAAUGCAAGAAGUGGACCUUGAAAUUAGGUACAACGAGAGUUAAAUUUUUUUUUACCACCAGGCUAACUUCUAAAAUUGUUAGAGUUCAUUUUUUUAUACAUAUAUGUAAUAUAAAAAUAAUAUAAAGUAGAGAGGUCCCUCUAGAUCUAUACGAAAACCUAAAGAAGUCUACCGUUGUCGAUCCCCCCAAAUUGGGGCAAGGAUUCCCCACAGGGAUCGAGUUCUUCACGUGGAAAUAGGGUCGGUGAAUAUCCCUGUCUUUGAACUUUCAUCGAGAAAAAAAUACUCCCCACUCCCUCCACAUUUCUCAUGAAUUCGAAGUUUCCCAACUCGUUUGAGGUGGAUCCCCACCUAGCCUUGACCCUUGGCUUAAAUGGACAUCUCUAGUUGGUGUCAUCAUGUUUCAAUAUUUAUGCGAGAAUAAAGUUUUAAAAUGUUGAUAUCAUUAGAAAUGUGCCGAGGUCUCAACUGUACGAAAUUAUCGAUAGAUAUAUAACUAUGAUAUUGACGUUGAUGGAUUUUUCUUAAACAAAUAGACAAAAAUUAAAGAAAUAAUAUUUGUUGUAAAGUGAUCGCGACGUAGAGCGAUCGAUGUCCUUGUUUAUUUAAUCUUAAAAAAUAAAAAGAUUUAUGAUUAUAGGGUCUAUGCCACUACAUUUUCUAAAUUGCAAAAGUAACAAAUUUAAAAGCUAAUAACCCUCUAAUACCUCUUUGAUAGUCGUCUGAUAGUCGUUUGAUAACUCUCUAAUAUCAUUAAUUACUUAUCAUAUUUGUCAUAUUUGCAAUAUGGAAAAAAGAGGUGAAAAUAACAUUUUUCAGACGAGCAACCACGUCAUCAAGCGAGGAGGGCUCACUAGAUGACAAGAAUGGUAGUUGGAGUUGAUAUGACUUCACAAGGCUACAAGCGACACUAACAAUCUCAAAAGAACAAACGUUUUCGACCAAAAGUUGCUGAUAAAAAUACUUCAUCCCCACUCAGAGAAGCAAGUCUGAGUGGAACCAAAAUAGGCCUGUACAGAGCUAGUGGAUGACUGUUGCAGAUAAAGGUAUGAGAAUGCAAUCCAUAGAGAGAGAGAACGGCAGAAAAGAAUAGCCUUUCCGCCGUGUGUAAAGCCUUCUUCUUUUUUUCGAUUAUUUGUAAAAAAAAAAUAAGACCCUCCCCCUUCUCUCCUUUCUUCUUCUGGAUUUUCUUUGACCUAGGGAAUGAAGGUGCAAACUUUGUUCUAGAGGAUGAACUCUUGUGAAACCUCCUAGAAUGGGCAACAUUUGUCUCUCAUUCUUUUUGUCCCUUAUUUUUCAUAAGAGACUGAAAAGUCUGCAAUUCAUUUGGAAGGGUAGUCAUUUUGCACUCUAUCUUGUUCAUUACCGCAUUGCUACAAAAUUAAAGAAAGCUCUUCUGAAGAGAAUCCAAGAUAAAGAACACUUGAUUUUGCUAAUCAAUGGCCGUCCAGUUCAUUUCGUCCACAUUGAACUAGACCAUCAAGUCGAGAACAUGUUCUCUAACAAAUUGGUCCUCUUUUAUUUUAAUAUCUUUCCUAAUUAAACAUAAAUAAAUUCAAAAAAUUACAGGAGAUUUUUAAAAAACACAACAAACUGACUAAAUAUUUACACAAUAUAGAAUAAUUUUGAAAAAGAAAAAAACUUCUACAGUACGAAAUAUCAAAAAUACUCCGCUAUUAAUUUAGUCACACACGCGCACAAAAAAAUUGGUACAUGAUCAUUUAAUUAUUUGUACACGAUCGUGUAUCAAAUCUAAACAAUCUUGGUACAUGAUCUUGUAACAAUUCUAAACGAACUUGGUAAACAAUCUUGGUACAUGAUCAUGAACAUGGAUUAUUUAGAUAUUGGUACACGAUCGCUUACUAAUAUCUAAAUGAUCGAUCGUGUACCAAUUUGUAAACAAUCUUGGUUCACGUUGUAUGAAAAUCAUUUAUAUUUAGUACAUAAUCGUGUACCAAUAUCGUUUAGAUUUGGUACACGAUCAUUUAGUUCUAGAAGAGAAAAUAUAUGGGAAAUGACGAAGAAAAAAAAAUUCUAGAGAAGGAAAUGAAAAAUCAUGAACAAGAACAAGUGGAAAUAUGCAACAUAAAAAGUAAUAAUAUGAAGAAAUUAAUAUUAAGAAAAGGAGAUGAAUAAACCACAAAUAAGUGAAAAAUCGUCCGCAAUGUCAAAUACAAUGGUGAAAUUUAUGAAAAUAUUUUAUCGGUUUCAUAGGCUUUGUGAUCUUUUACACUAGUAGUAAAUAUUUUGGUGUUUUAUAUAUUUAUGAAAAUUAACUAAAAUUAAAACUACUGAUUUUAAUUUGAAAGAAUUUGAUUUGGAUUUUCAAAACAUAGAUAACAAACCAAUAGAUUUAUCAGUGGUUAUAAAGCUCUUAAAUAGAUUUACAAAAACUAAACAACUUUUUACCUUUUUGGAAUAAGAUAAAAACUCUUUGAGAGCGGAUAAAAAAGAAACAACUCAUAAAAGUCUCGUCUUUGAAAGAUAAAAACAUCAAUCAUAAUACAAUUUAUUUUUCCAACAUCGUCAAAUAAAUUAAUAAAAAAUUAUAUCAAAUUACAAAAACAUUAAGGGAAAAAACAGUUCAUGACACUUAUUUUUUGUAUAUUGCCAAUAUGAAAAAAUUAAUGAUAUCAAACGGCUAUCAAACAGUAAUAAUAGGAAUAUCGAAGGGCUAUCAGACGGUAAUUAUAUGGUUAUCGGCUUUUAAAUUUGCUACUUCUGCAAUUUAGAAAAUGUAGUGACAUAGACCGUAUCAUCAUUUUUUUUUACUAUUUUUGCAAGGCCCCUAAAUUAAUUUGCAAAAUCGAAUGUAAAAUAAAUUAAAAUAACAUUACUUUGAGAAAAACAAAUCAAACACUUCUCUUGAUCUAACUUAAUAACUAAUUUGGUGAUCUAAUUUCCAAGUUCAUGGUAUUUUUGUCAUUUAGUUCUUGUGAACUAAUUCUUCAAGACAACAAUUAAACAAAAAUUUGUUGUUUUCAAUAUCAUACCAAUGGUGGCCAGAACACAUCGACCAUCAUCAACAAAAUUAUCCCAAACUGAAGCUCCAACCUAUAUAAACAUAUCAUGAUGUUAAUCAAUGUCUCUCAUCUCAUCUUAACAAAAACUUCAAAUCAUCUUGUUAAAGGGAAAAAAUAUGGCUUAUUCAAAGUUCUUGAUCAUUGCCUUUACGGCUACUUUGGCUCUUUCGAGCAUCAACUUCGGCCAAGCUACUCGCCAUCUUUGGCAAACCACUCCACCCUUGGUGCCAAAUCUUCCAGCAAUUCCAACCCUGAUACCGCCAUUGCCUGGCUUGCCAAACCCUACUCUUCCAAAUUUACCACAACCUACAUUACCGAAGGUUAAUUUUCCUCCACUUUCAAUCGGGCUACCGUUGCCACCGCUCCCGACAAUGACACUUCCAAACUUUCCGUCAAUCCCUACCAUUCCAAUUUCAUUUCCUUCCAUCCCAUUUUUGUCCCCUCCUCCUGCGACAUCUUCUUCCCCCUAAACUUGGUUCGGUUAUUAUUUAACUUAUGCAGCCCCAAUUGUUGUUGGUUAAUUAGUUUAAGGGUGGAGUUCUAAAGUUUUAUUUAUAACUCAUAAUUGUGUGUUUUAAUUUCAAUAUUUAUGUCUUUUGUAAGAUUGAGGUUUAGACCUCCAUGGGCUAUCAUAUUACUGUUUUAUUUGAUCAAGCCUAUCUUGUACUACCAAUACGACAAACUGUUCUUAAUUUUGAUUUUUAAUAAAUUUCAUCUCAACCUCUCGUUUCCAUCGAGAUCACCAUCACGUAGUGGUGGAUCGAGAAAUUUAAAUGCAAGAAGUGGAGCUUGAAACUAGGUACAACGAGAGUUAAAUUUUUUUUACCACCAGGCUAAUUUCUAAAAUUGUUAGAGUUCAUUUUUUUUAUACAUAUAUGUAAUAUAAAAAUAAUAUAAAGUAGAGAGGUCCCUCUACAUCUAUACUAAAUUCUAAAGAUGUCUAAGUGACGGGGUAGGCUGGAGAUGACACUCUCGAUCCCCAUCCCAAUCCAGUUGUUGAUCCCUUCAAAUUUUUGUGCAAGGAACGGGCAAGGAUUCUCCACAGGGAUCGGGUUCUUCGCGUAGAAAUAUUCUUCACUUUUAUUUCUUUUUUGUUAUGAUAAAUUAAUGGCCUUUAGUGUCGGUUGACAACCGACAUCUAUGCUAGCGUUAUUAAAGGCCUCUAAUGUCGUUUUUGCUUUGAUGUCGGUUUAAAAACGACAUUCAGUGCCUCAUUAAUGUCGGCGUAAAAACGUAAUGUCGUUUUUAAACCGACAUUUUUAUGGUGUUAUUGAAGGUCUUUAAUGUCGAUUGACCUUUGAUGUCAGUUUAAAACUGACAUUAAAUAGCUCAACAAUGUCGAUUUAAGUCUUGUUUCAAGGUCUAUUUCUACAAAUUUAUUUUUAUUAAAUUGUUGCAUUAUUGUCCAUUUUUUUAUUUCGCAAAAUAGUUAAAAACCAACAUCAUGGAUCGAUAAAUAUUUUUUCUUAUGACAACAAAUAAAUAAAAUUAAUAUUAUUUUAUAAACUAUAAUAAUUCUCUUUUACAUAUGUAUGUACAUAAUGAAAUCUUAAUAUUGUGUUUAUAUAUACAUUCUUCAACAAUUACAUGAAACAAGAUCUUAAUACAAGACUUAAAUAAGAAAAUCCUAAACGCCUUCUCAAUCUUCAAUCUUCAACGACCGUUUGGCUAUCUACACAAUCGCUUAGCUUUCAAUCUGAUAUGACUUCAAUCAUUGUACAAACAAUAUCUAAUAAACCAUUUAAUCUUUAGAAUUUUAACAAGGCAAAUUUGAAAAAAAAUGUGGAAUAAAAACGUUUCUAAACACUAUCAUGUAAUUCAAGUAAAAGAUAAAAACGUUUGAAACUAAAUCGAUGAGCCAAGUAUAUGUAACAAAAGGUUUUUUCAUGGAGUUCACUGAAUAUACGUUUAGACUCGAGCAAUAUCUUUCAGAAAAAUAAACAAUAGAAUAUGAGUCAAAUCAACUCAAACAUUCCAAAAUCAGUCAAAUAUUAUAAACUCAAUGCUUAUUUGUACCAAACAAUCCAAAUAUUUCUAUCAAAACUAUGAUUUCAACUUGCUCUUAUUUUUUAGUUCAACGAUAUACACCAAACAAAAAAAAAAAAGAUAAUCAAGAAAUGAAACCUAUCUGCUGAUCCCGCACUAGAAGAAAUCUAGGCUUUAAUGUCAGGUGAAAAAUGUGAAAAUUUGGCUUUAAUGUUGGUUUUGAAAAGGCAGAUAAUAAAUGUUGGUUUUAAAUUGACAUUAAUGAUAAGAGUUUAAUGUCAUUUUUAAACCAAUAUUAAUGAUCCGUCCAUUUUUAAUUUUAAUUUUAAUUUUUUUUAUUUUGUAAAAACCGACAUUAUAGAUAUUUUCAUUUUUAAUAUUUUUUAUUUUGUGAAAAUUGACAUUAAUGAUCCUCCCAAUUUUUAAUUUUUUUUACUGUGAGACAUUAAUUAUUAUAGUUUUACUGUGGAGACCAAAAUUUGAUGUCUUGACUAAAUAUAAAACGAUUCUCAUUUCUUAUUCAUGGUACUUACCGUCUAGGAAUGGAAUAAGAAAAAGAGAAUUCGAGUUUCUAUUUUAAGGAUAUAAUUCUUUUCUUGUUUUUUCACUUUUAAGAUGUUUAGUCAAUUUCAAUUGACAGAAAAGAUAGAAGGUGAAUUUCCUUUCUUAGUGUGGGAUUUAUACUAAACUCUUCCUCUACCUCUCCCUUUGGACUGCUAUGUGUCUCAAACUAACCUUUCUAUUUUAUGAUUAUACUAAGUACUGGCAAGUAAAGGAGAUACUGGUUAAUUAGCUAGUUGAGCUUAUUUCAAUAGUUAUCAAUUUAGAAAUAUGGUUGUUGUUGAAAAAUUAGUCUUUUAACUGUAUGAAACUAUAUUUUCUUCCUAUGACUAAUAUAGUUUGAAACAUUUUGAAUAAUUGAUUGAAUUGAGGAUUAGCAUAAAGUUCUCUUACUUCAAGGACAUUGUCGUUAUUUCUUCAAGUAAGUAGUUUCUACCUCCCUACCAAAAUACAUAUUCAACUAUUGUGGUUUAAAAUAUAUUUUGUGUCAUUCUAGUCUCGUUGAAAGUGUUUUAGUCUAAUUAGUAUGGUAUAUUAGUAGUAUAUCAACGUUUGCUUGAAUUAAUAUCAUCCAAAAUCUCCAUAGUAGUUCUUUCCUUACUCUAAAAGAUCUGGUAGAAUUUCGAUUUGGAUAUGGAUCGACAAAAAAAAGUUUUAGUGUAUGAUUUAUGAAAAAGUAGAGAUUUAUGAAAGUUAAAAUUAGCUAAAAAGUCAUACUAGUUCUUUAUCUUUCUCAUAAUAUUCCAUUGGAAACUGAUUUUGCAGGUAUAAUUAAUGUCUAUCUUUUCAAUCUGCUUGAUGAAAAUGCUAAAAGUAUAGAACCAGAUAGCUUUGAGAGGCAUUGGAGAAUAUAUUUUUAGUUUGAUUGGUAAAAAUGCUAAAAGCAUAAUUAAUGUAUAUCUAUACUUGUGGUUUAUUAAUUUUAUUUCUUCACUACUAAUUGAAAACAUCGUUUUGUUACAUAACUUAGAUUCAAUCGAGAGAGCUUAAUAUCAAGCUGGUGGAUGGAUACUUGUCGAAAGGAGAAUUAAAGGUAUUGUUCAAAGGUUUUUUUUUUCUCUUUUGCAUUUUCUUUCCUUUUCAGCUUUCUCGUCAAUCAAUGAGUUUAUGUUGAUGGGGUUAAUUCUCUUUCUUCAAGAUUAUUUAUAGAUAUUGUGUUUAAAGGGAUAAAAGCCCUAUGGCAGCGGAAUAAUUUAAAGAACUGUUUCUCAAAUUAAUUUGAGAAUCUUAAAAUACCGGUACAUUGGCAAAAUUUUAUAAUCAAAAUUAUAAAUAAAUUCUAAGCAUGCUAUUAAAGAAUAAGAUACAAGAACUUACUUUCGAUGACGUCUCUGAAUUUACAAAUCAAUUUUCAAAUUGGGACACCACCCGUCGAAGACCUUCCUAUCCUCUGGGAUGAGAUUGGUUUGUGGGAACCAAUUGAGAUGGGAAAAGACUUGGAGAUAUUUGAGAGAAACUCUUUUUGCAGAGAGAAAAAAACUUUGUUUUUUUCUUAAUGAAUUUGGCUAAAAAAAUAUGUUUUCUUCUAGAUAUUUAUAGUUCUUUCCUUCUCGGAAUAAGAAAAGGAGUAGGAGAGAAUCAUGAGAUUCUAUUAUCAAAUCUACUAAUUAAUUAACAAUUAAUCAAUCUUUCCAAUAUCUUAUAUAUUUAUAUUAAUAUAAUUAAUUAAAUCAUAUUUAAUUAAUAUCUCUACAAUCUCUUAUAAAUUUAAUUAAAUCAAACUUAAUUAAAUGAACUAAAUUAGCUAAACUCAUUAACCACAUCAAUCAAUAUUUGUUAACUGUGUGUGCACUCUACUAAAGACUCACAGCUGAACUCUUCUCACUGUAGAUAUAUUUCUGUGUCCAUGGAUAUAUACCAAUAACAGUAAGUUAGUCCUUCACGAGUGUUCGUAACACCAACUGGGUCAAUUUAUCGUUUUACCCCUGGGUUACCUCUAAUCUUUAAAUAUCAGUGCUCCUCUAAUGAACAACCUGUUUAUGGUCCUACCAAUUAACAUAAACCCCUCUCGUGCCAUGGAGAGGGUAUGAGCCUUUGUUCAAGACUUGGAGACACCAUUUAAGGGAACACUCAUCUAUUUAUCCUAAAGUAGGGAAUAAGUGAAUUCCAUCUUAUGUAAUUAUGUUCCCAGCUCCCCACUCGGUCUUGUCCCCAAAAUAAUAAGCUUAUUGAGUUGGCAAUCUGGCCACUCUCACCUGUACAAAUCAAAGGACAAUCCCUUGCGAACAGGAUUUCAUAACACACUCAGGAUUAAGACUAAGUUACCUAGGUCUUCUUAGUGAAAUAGAAAACCUAACUAGUUAACGAAGUUACAUCUAGUGGUUACAAAUUCGCGGUUCGGUCUUAUGCAAACUCAUUAUAUAGGAUACCCUCACUCGCAUGUCAACUACACGAAUGUGUUGGAUCAUUGCGUUUGUAUCAAAUACAAAGUGAGUCGUAUCAAAUAGUGUUAUCAGGAUGAGGUAUCCAGUCUUAUCCUUAUACUAUAGACCUUUUAAACUGAUUUUGAACAUCGAUCCCUAUAUGUCUAUACAUAUUGUUCAAGACUCAUUAAACAGCUUAGGAUUUUAGUUUAUUGGAUUUGGGUUAUUAAGACAAUACUAAUAAUUUAAUCAAUAACAAUUAUUACAAUAAUAACACUUUAUUGAUAACGGUCAAUGAAUUAUAUUUAUAAUCUACGAGUUUUAGGACAUAAAUCCCAAUAGUGUUGGUAAAAGCUAAGAUUGUCGAGCUACUUUUAGCCACUGUAGUUAUCAAUCUAGCUGGAACAAAAGAUUUGGAUAUUGAUCUUCAAAACUCAUUUCACUUCAGGUUUUUUAUUGUUUAUUUGUCAUGAGAUUAUUGGUGUUAUGUUCUUCAAUGUUUCUCUGUUUUGUAGGUUUAAUCAUGCUCUAAGGUCAAUUGCCAAUAUUAUACAAACUUCACAUAUAUGGCUCAUGUUUAACUGAUUUUAGGCAAAAUAUUAUUUUCUUUUUUCUUUAUUUCUUGGUGAGAGGUGUUUGCUAUCAUUUGUGAUUGUCUAUUCUACCUUUCAUUGGUAUGUUUACGGACCACUUUACUAUUCUUUGGCGUGUUGGUCUCAUGUCAUGAUCAUAAAUGUUUGUUUACUGAAAUCAAGUAUCAUAAAUGAUGAACAAAUAUUUUAACAUUUCAGAAUUAUGUUGUCUUUCUUUUAACAUUUUAAAACAAGUUUUAUCUAUAGUGUAGUAGACAUAUUUCCUGUCCCUGGGUUUAAUUUUGAGGGCAUUGCAUCCAUGGUGGUGACUUCUGAAAAAUAUCUUUAGUUUGACUCCAUAGUAAGCAACUAUAAUUUUGUUGGCACAUGAUGCCAAAUAUUUUCAUUCAUGCAUCCAGUUUUCUUUGAGAUUUUUAGAUUGAUUUAUAACAUUUGUAUAAUGUGAAACAAUUUAUCUUGUAGGAAACAAUUAAACUUUUGCUAAACACAAAAAAAGUUUGGGGAUAUUGCAUUUUGGGACAAGGAUUAUAAAAAUGGUCAUUGAGUACUACUCAAAGGCAAUUUCUACGCUCUUGACUUCAUAGCUUUGAUAUAUUGUUACGAUAUGGAUAACAUAACAGCUAGUUCUCAAAGCCGUUGAAGUUCAAGACUUCGUUCUUUGUUCAUGUCAAUGGUUAACAUUAUGACCAUUUUUGAAAUUGCAGCUAGUAUCAAUAAUGUUAGUUCCUUCUGGUAACUUCUACCAACUAGUAUCAAGCUACAAAAUUGGGUUUAUGUAUUUAAUUGUUAUAAGCUAGUAUUUAUCUUUUACCUCCCACUUGUUCUUACUGUGAAAUCAUGCUCAUAAAAGUUAGUCAUUUGUUUACUUUCUUAGGGGUAUCGCUAUCAAAAUUUUUCGUGCCCCUAAAGGAAGAGGAUGGAAGUGAUAGUCUUGUAGUUCAACUUGCGAAUGAGAAGCACUAGAAUGAUCCUGUAAUUAUCAUUGUUGUGGUAUUUACACUGGUUUUGAAUAAGGGUUGUAAUUCCAUACUUAUAAAUUAUUCAAACUUGAUUGGAAAUGUACAAAUAUUACAAAGUGUAUUAUAACGUAUAUAUAUUAAAGUGUCGACCAUUUGUUUCUAUAUGGGUGUUAUAUAUUAUAACAUUUUUGUCAUCCAAAUGGUUCGUGUCAUGGCGGAGCGACAAAGAGAACAGUGAAAAACAGUAGUAAUUGAAGAAUUUGCAACAGGAAAUAAAUGUCAUAAUAUAUGAAUUCGUAACACUCUAUAAUUUUCGUCAAUAUUAAAACAAUAACAUUUUUGUUAUAAAAAAAACUGUCAUGAUUGUCUUAUAUUUGACAGGAAUUUUUUUUUGUCAAUAGCAAAACAAUGACGUUUAUUUUUUAAAAAACUGUCACGAUUGACAUAUCCUUGACAUUUAAAAAAUGUUAUAAUAAACGAAUUUGCAACAUUUUUUUAAUUGUCGUUAAUAUGCAAAUGAUGACAGUUAUUUGUUGUCAUAAAAUAGUAAUUAACGACAUUUAUUUUCUGUCAUGAAAAAACUUAUUGCGACAGUUUUCGAAAACUGUCAUGGAAGAACUUUCCAUGACUUCCGAUACUAUGACUGUAAAUAACUGUCACAGAUUUUAUUCGUGACAGAAAAUAACUGUCGUCUUAUACCAUUUUUGUUGUAGUGCUUUUUCGCAUUUUGUAAACAAUAUUCUCAAGAACGCGAAGGAAGGUUCCAUUGUACGCUAAGUUUGUCCAUGACUUUUGAAUUUUGAUCGGUUGACUUAUUCAUCGAGUUUGAACAAGUGUACGCAAAGAAAGACUACGAUUAUGACACUCGAUAACCUCGAAUUCUGAAGUGACUUAAACUGGAUUUAUGUCCUCUCCAUAACUCAAAAGAUGUUUCAAAAACACUUUUCGAGGGAACAUUGUUCAAGGUAUGAACUAUAGUCUGUACUACAUGCCCCCAAAAUAAGCUAAGCAAUUAAGCAUAACUCAUCAUUGAACGAACAAUGUCUAACAAGACUCUAUAUCUCAUUUGUGAUACACCAUUUUGUUGAGGUGUACCAGGUGCCAAUAGUUGGGAUUGGAUUCCAUGUUUUAUCAUAUAGUCUUGGAAUCUCAAAUCCAUGUACUAAUCUCCACCUCAAUCAAAUAAAAGUAUUUUAAUAAUUUUACUUAAUAGAUUUUCGACUUCAGCCUUAUACUCCUUGAACUUUUCAAGAGCUUCAUACUUAUGCCCCAUUAAGUAUAAAUAACCAUACCUUGAAUAACCAUCUAUAAAAAAGAUGAAAUAUUUAAAACCUCCUCUAGUUUUUACAUUCAUCGGACUACAGAGGUCUGAAUGUAUAAGUUUUAUGGACUCUUUGGCUCUAUAACUUUUUUCCAGUAAAAAGUAUUUUAGUCAUCUUUCCUUCAAGACAAGAUUCACAUGGAGACAAUGAGUCAUCUUCUAACUCAUUUAGAAGUCUAUUCUUUACCAAUCUCUCAAUCCUAUAGAGAUUAAUGUGACCUAAUUUUAAAUGCCAAAGAUAGAUAUUGUUAUUAGAAAAAACUCUUUGCCUUUUAUUUUGCAUAUUAACAGUUUUAACCAUCUUAAGAUUUAAAAUUACUUUCGCUUCGGUAGGUCUUAAUAUAUACAAGUUGCUCCAAGUUUAGCUGAACAAAUAUGUACACCCUUCUUAAAAAUGAAUGAUUUAUUUAAAGAAAAGGUUACAUUAUAUGAUUGUCCAAUAAGACAAAAAAUAGAUACAAAAUUCCUUUUAAUAUUUAGGAACUAUGUACAAGUUUUCUAAAAAUAAGAAUCUAUUUUUUAAAGACAACUUAACAUCUCCCACUGCACGAGCUGAAAUGACAUCUCCAUUCCAACCUUGAGUGUCAUCUCACCCUCCUCGAGCUGCUUAAAGAAACUAGUUUCUUGUAAAGAAGAGCAAACAUAACUAGUGGCUUUUGAGUCAAGUGUCCAGGCAAUUUGGUUAUUUUUCACUAAACAUAUUUCUAAGACAAGUAAAUUAUACUUACCUUCUUUUUUUAUUUUUCUUAAACAUCUUUUGGAGGGAGUCAUUGAUCUGAUGUGCAAUGACCAUGGUUUCCUGUUUCUUGUUUAGUAUGUCAGACAUACUAGACAAGAGAUAGACGCGGGCCUUGUCAUUGGCCUUUGUCCAAUGGUUAUAUGCAUCUUUGACAUUAUGAGAUGCAUUUCAAGAAGGGAAAAGAGGACAUUCUCACAUUAAAACAAAAUAUAGAUCAUCAUUAACCCGAAUCAUAUUCAGGUUUGACUUCCACAUCGCAUAAUUCUCACAGGAUUAAAUUUUUUGUUUUUAAGUAGUUGAUUAAAUGAAGAUGAUAUGAUGAAAUAUCAAAUAAUUGGUCGUAUUAGUUAUAUUUGUCUUAACCCAUUACACAAAUAAUCCAAUCAAUUCAGCAAAAAAUGGCAUUCAAAGAACCCUAAUCAAACAAAUGAUUCAUUAACUAACUUAAUUCAUCCCAUAAGUGUGACCCUACCAUCUUCAUAUCCCAGAGGUACGCUUCAAUAGGCUACGAAAAGGAAAGACAACUGUUGAAGAUUAACCUAAGAAACCCUAUCCAUUUAUGGAGUCUGCGUUGUUUUGACUUCUAUAAUCAAGCCUUCUGAAGGGAUGUUCACUCUAGGACGACACACAGGCAAAUCAUAUAAAUUUUACCAUGCAACCUAAUAGAGGAGACUAUAGGAUAUGUUGACACAUGUUAUUCUCCCACUUACUAUGAACAUUUCCCCUAUUCACCUUGUUCUUGCCCUAUACAAACAUGUUCCAAAGGGAGGUCGCUCCCAGGUGCCAUGAAGCCAAGUAUAAAUCUCACAUGGAAACUCUUAGAGACUUGAGAGCUAAGAAUUGAUAUAUCCUAUAUACCAUUUUUCUUCCACUAAAAUGUUCUAUUAAUUUAGGGUUUGUUGUACUUAGCUAAAUUCUGGCUAAAUGAAUCUACAUAAGUCUAUUCUUAUUAUAACUCUUAUAAUAAAACUUACUCUAAAGUUUUUACGUGUAUUAAACCAUUUAAUUUACCUAGUGGUAUCUUAUGCUAAUAGAAAUAAGAUUAAUUCAAUAUCGGUUUCGGGUCAGUUCCUAAGUAUGAGGUAUCCCGUAAACCGUCAAUUUAAGUAAGACGGAUAAAACGUCGAGUAUUGUUUUAGAAAAUUAAAAGUUAAGUUUUUACAGAAUUUUUGGGCUAUUUUACAUUAGUUUUUACUUGACAUUUUUUUUCGCGUCAAGUAUAGUGAACAUUUACUUGACGAGAAAAAAUGUGAAGUACUGUUUUUAAAAAAAUAAAAUUUUCACAGAAUUUUUCGAAUUAUUUUACGUUAUCUUUUACUUGACGUUUUUUUCGUGGAGACUUUACUUGAUGGUUUUUUUUGCAUCAAGUAUAGUGGAUAUUUUACUUUAUAUUUUUUUUGCAUCAAGUGUAGUUAACAUUGACUUGAGGUGAAAAGAACAUAAAAUAUAGUUAACAUUUUUAUUUUAGACUUUUAAAAUGUGAGGUAUAAAAAAUAUAAAAACAUAAAAAAAAAAAAUUAUUUCCCUUUCUUUCGUUAAAUAAAUUUAUUAAAAUUUAUUUCUCUUCUUUCAUCUCCCCCGUUUAACCCUCCAUCUCCGUGCGUUUCGGCCUUCAUUCUCUCCAUCUCCACCGACAGGUCACACAAAGCUUGUGUAUUCUCAUUGGGGCAAUAAACGGGGCUAUCCAGGGUUUAGGGUAGCAGAGCAUCAUCGUUUAGGGUUUUACAGAAAGCUUCACUCAACUUCAACCAAUAUUCUCUAUGAAAUGGGUUUAUGGGGUAUGUUUCAUUUUCAGUUCCAUCUUUAUUAUCUCAUUUCCUUGUGCCUUCGAACCUAUAAAUGAAGUUCAAUGGUUUAACAUCACCGCUUUCUCAAGUACCGCCAUUAAGUUCUUUUUCAUCCGUGUUCUUUCUGCCAUUUCUUAGAAUCGAAUAGCCGAGAGAGUACUUUAUUAAUUAUUUGUUGUGAUUAGGUAGAUUUCACUUCUUCAAAGAGGAAUUAUGAAUUUAGAGAAUGCAUAAUCUCAAAUUUUCUAUUGUGUUCUUUCUCAUUUUUUGCUUGCAUGUCUUUUUGUUUUAAUUUUCAGUACUUACUCAUGUCUAUAUCUUCUAUUAUUUUCAUUUUCCAAGGCAUUGAAGUGAAACCAAGCAAACUUUACCCUUGCCAUUCUGAUAAUGUCAUGGGAAAGCUUCGGAGAACUCAGGUUUGUUUGGGCGCUAGCAUCUCUCUCGAGAUGAAAAAUUAUUAGGAUUGAUGUUUUCGAUUUCAAAAAAUCAUAUUUGUGUAGUCAACAUAUCAUGAUGACAUUUUACUGUUUAUUUGAAAUUUAUUGUUUCAUUGUUCAAGUUGAUGGGUUUUUUUUUUUAUUUGAGCUUAGUGCUGUGAUUUUGGGUAUUCUAGCUCCAGUUUGCAUUUUUCUAAAUCUGAUUAUAUUACGGCGGUGUUAUACGGUGAGCCAGUGAGUUAGAUUGGAUUUUAAUUUGUGUUUCUUUUUAGUAUGAUUACAAUGGAAUUUUUUUACUAAUUUGUCACUUUUUGAUAAGUCAGGCAACUUUGGGACUUGGCUCAUCGAAAGAAAGAAGCAUCGUUUAGUGUUUUAUGUCGAAUUAAUUGAACUCAAGGCAUCACUUACGAUAGGGAUUGUUGUUUUUGUUUGCCUUAGUCUAUUUAUUGGAUCGAUCAUGACCACACAAGAAUCGCAGGAUAUACAAGGCCUUUCAAGUUUUUGGAUGGUGCAUCUAUCUUUUUUUUUUUUUAAUAGAAAAGGUUGAUUUAUAGUUGAGAAAAAAUGAAAGCAUAAAAGAAAAAGACCCUGUGAAACCCCUCUAAAGAAAGAUUUUCUAACUACGUAACAUACUAACUCCAAGAUAAUUACAAAAAUGUCUUCAAAACUGCAGCUACACAUUGUUACUAAAUUUAAAUUGUUACUAAAAAUGAGGUAAUUUUCAAAAGUGAAAAUUUGACAAAAUAUUUACAAGCUACACGUUCUAUGAAUAACAAACAUGUGAUAGGCCAAUGAUAUUCUAUCAUUGACAUUGGAUAGUCAGUGAUAGAAGUAUCUCACUGGCAAUCAUGGAUAAAAUCCAUAAUUUUUGUUAUAGCUUGUAAAUAUUUUAAUUUAUUUUGCUAUUUUAAAAAAUGUCCCUUAAAAAUAUGUAUUAUGUAUUAUUUAAUAAAUUUUUGAUAAAUAGUUCAAAAUAUAAAAAAUGUGAAACUAUUGAAUUUAUCUUUGUUAUUAUUUUAGGGGUAGGAUCUAAAAUUUGAAUUCAAAACGUUGUUAAACAUAUUUAUUAUAAAUUAUAUAAUAAAUUGUUAAUUAAUUGAUUUAAAUAGCAAUAAUCGAAAAUAUGCUAGAGAGUACAAUCAUAUUUUUAGGAGAUGUUGGUAUCAUCUUCUCUUGCAUGAAAAUAUGAUAUUUAGUUAAGAUUUUAACAAACCUUGAUGUUUUCAAAUAUAAUGUAUUCGUGAAUCUGUGAUAUUCUGCUUCAUUUUUUUAACUUAAUGUGAAUAUGUACUCUUUCAAACCUAACUUCAAUAAACUAACGUCCAAAAUUUUAAAAUAUUAAUAAAAUAAGAUGACUAUAUUAAAGAAAAAUACCUAAAUUUUAGGAUGUCACAGUGUACGCAGUGUUUUCAACUUGUAAAUCGAUAAAAAUACACUGUAUUUGUAUAAUAAGAUUUAAACUGUAGUGAGUGGCAUAUUCAAACUUAUUCAGAUAAUGAGGAUGUAUUUAACCGUGUUAAAUUUCAACAAAUCUAAUACAUUUGUUUCAUGGGGUGAAUUUUGAGAUUUGGGUACGUUCAAAUACAAUGUAUUUCUAGCAGUACUAACAAAUACAGAGUCAACAACCAAUAUAUAUUUUCUAUUUGUUUUUGUCUCGUGUGAACUAGGGAUGACUAAUCAAGAGAAAAAGUCUUUGCGAGAAAAGUUGGUAGUUUGUGAAAGAAGUUAUGCGAUAAGACUUUGGAAAGCUGUUAAGUGGUAGGAAUUAUUCGCAUAAUGGUAUUAGGCGAGAAGAAAAGUUUGGGGAGAAGAUGUCAAAUCUGAUUUGACAAGGGCUAACGUGUAGGAAUAAGGUUUUAAGCAUGACUACAAUAAAUAGAAAUUUUACAAGUUUAAGGUUGAAGUAGGAGCUAACAAUCGGAUAAAGAACUAGGGAUGACUAAUCCAGAUUAAAAUAGUAGUAUAAUAGAGGAUUUGGGUAACUAAGUAGAGGAUGAUGAAAGUUUUGUUGAAAUGCUAAAAUGUUGUCACUUGGUCUCCAUGAGAAGAUUUUGCGUGAAGAGGAAAGUUGAAGGGUCAGUGUUUUUCUUUCAAAGUUUUGUGAGUGUUAUCCUUAAUAUUCUAUAUCAAAUAUUUUCUUAUAAAUCUUUACUAAUUUGAGUUAAUGAUUUUGAUUCAAAAUGAUUUCUAAAAGAGAUUUAUAUGAAAAAGUGUUAUAAUGUUCAAAGCAUGAUUUGAUCUUAAUGUUUACGAUAUAGUUUGCAAAUCAUUAGUUACUUCUUUUGAAUAAGCUAACUUUUAUGUUCACACAAAGAGUUAAAUGUCACCAUGAGUGUAUGGAACUGCGUGGUGAAGAAGCUAGCUUAUGCGUUGAAAGAAGCGUAUAAUGUUUAGUGGUCGAGCAACAAGGACUAAUCAUGACACUCUCAGAUGUUGAUAAAAGAAGCGUAUAAUGUUUAGCGGUCGAGCAACAAGGACUAAUCAUGAUACUCUCAGAUGUUGAUGAUUCAAUAGUCUAAACGCGAAGUUAUGUGAUCUAGCAUAGAGAGUGAUUUGGGAUCCUUGACAAAAUGAUUUGUUAAGCGUCGAGAGUUAUUUUAUGUAUAUUUUUUAUUUAUUGAAUUUUUCCUUUUUUCAAUCAUGCACUAUUUUGUUCGAUUCCAAUUCAAUUUAAAUUAAAUAAAAUUGUUAAAAGCUAAACAACCAAAUUACUAAAUAAUUAUAUAGAAUGCCAAAUUAAAAUUAAAUAUAUUAUAAUUAAAUGUUACAUUGUCUAACAAUUUCGAACGCUUGAAAAAAAUUACAUAGAAAUAAAUACACAUUUAUCUCAAUAUGGCCAUGGACGCCGUAAUACUAUAGGUCCACUCCUACAAUGACACAAAAUUAAAUUUAGAUAUAACCGAAUGAUACAGAGUAAACAACGGUAAAAUUAAAAAAUAUGUAUCACACCCUCUAAUGAGUCUCAAUUUGUGUUCAUACAUCUAUUGUAUGGACACCUUAUUCGUCUAUAAGCAUCAACAUGAAACUUGACAAUCUUUAAAAAAUGGGACACUCCCUCUCUAUACUCAACCAAAAACUUAUUUCUAACUUUUAUCCAACUAUUAUCCAUCGUUAAAGACCUAAGACAUAAAUAUGUUUGAUUAGUGGCAUAUUCCUUCUCUCAAACCCUAAUCUUAAGUUAUUACUCCAUGAAGAAACUUUGUCUAAUCCCCAAAAUUUUCACUCAAGCUAAGUUUAAACUACAAAUGAUCAAACAUAACUGCAUGAUAACCAAAACAAAUUAACCCCAAAAAACUACUAAUAAAUUCAAAACUAAGUUUAAUUUGCACCAAAGAGGCUACCAUAACUACAAUAUAGUCAUACGAAAUCAACAACAAACUAUUUCAAUCUUUACAAGCUACCCAACAAACAAAACAACUAAGAAAUAAACAAUCCCCCCCCCCCCCCCCCCCCCAAUACAAUCCCCUCAAAUUUUCAAUUCAAUCUUUCCCCUCUCAAAUUUUCAAUUCAAUCCCAAAUUCAAAUUCAAUCUAAAAUUAAUUUUUAAAACCAAAAAAUACUUAAAAUUCAAAAUCCACACCAAAACUAAAUCAAAAAACUAUUUCAAAAUCUAAAUCAAAAAACUAUUUCAAAAUCUAAAUCAAAAUAUACACCAAAAUCUAACAUAAAACUAAACUACCUACUAGAAUUAGUAGAUGUGGUGGCACACGACGAAAGAAUGAUGGCAGGGACGGCAACAUGACAGACAUGACAAACUCUCUUCUUCUUGGUCUCUCUCAUUUUCCAAAGGGAAACUCCCAACAUAUAAUGAAAACAUCGGGAUAACCCCAUUCUCGACAUCAUUCGUCCAACGUCGAUGGUAAAUCUCCAAUAUACCAAUGCAUUACUAAUGACGUUGAGAAUUCGAAUCUAGAUUCUCAAUGCCAUACAGGACAUGUCAGAGGAAAGUUAAUAUAUAUUUAAUUCUUUCACCUAUGUUGACGUCAGACGUUUAUGUUAGUCACGUCAGGGAUGGGCCACAUUUGUCCGACGUCAGAAGAACGAUGUCGGAAUAAAGAAUUUCUUAUUUCCAAGGAAGAUCUCUCUUCAAUCUUCAUUUUUUGAAUAACAUAAGUUUGCCUUUUUUUUAUCCAUGUGAAUAUGAAUAUAAUUAAAAAUUGAUUUAACUGAAAUGGUUGAUUGCAGAUAAUAAACUUGAGCGGUAAUAGGUUAAAUUGAUAGUUUAAGCCUCAAGGUGUUAUAUUGCAACAAAAACCACAUAAUUUAACGGUGGUUUGUGCAAUUUUCCAAAAAUCUAAUGUUCUUGACAAAUAUUUUGAAUUGAAUUUCAUAGGUUGAAUGAAGCUUUUGAAUUCUUUCAAAUUAAGAAUUCGAUCCUUCCGAAAAAGGAGAGAAUCCUCGAAAAAGUUAUUGUUGAAAAAAAUAAUAUUAUUAUCCCAAAUUAAAUGAGAACUUUAAAUCUUCUUAAAGAGAUCAAAUCAUCAAACAUCAAGAAUCAUAUCUCAUCACAAAAAGUAGGUAAAAAAAGUUUGUUCAAUUUCAAAUAAGUCAAAUUGAAAAUGUUUAUAUGAAACAAUUUACUGUUAAUUCCCUAGUUUAGUUUUAUUUAGCUGCACAAUUUACCUUUAGGUUUUAACUAGAAGAAAUUUUAAUAUAUUUCACCAUACAAGAAAAUUCUUACAAUUAUAAAAUCUCUAUAAUAUAAAAAAGAUUUAUAAAAUCUAUAACUCAGACUUGUUACUUUUACAAAAUAGUGCAAAAUAAGCUAAGUUCAUCGAAUGUCAAAAAUAUACAAUACAUCUAAUAUAUAAGAUACACAACUGAUAUACAUUCAAAAAACUUUAUAUACUACAAAAUGUCAUAGAUUAUCUCUGUAACAAAUGAAAAAAAAAAAAAAUGUAUGCCACAGCUUGAAUAUCCUAUUCUUUGUUAUUUGUCAACCACCACAAAUUUUCAUAAAAGAAUAUUGGAUCGUCCACUGAAAAGAAUAAAUAACCAUAGUGCUAGCUGAAAUUUGUAAAGUCUUCAAAUAAGUCAAUAAAACACACAUGGGGUUUGUAUGUGUAAUUAAUGAGAAAGUAGAACAACUUAUUGAUACAUAUAGAAGUAAAAGCCAAAUACAUAACUAAUGAAAGGCAAGAUAAAAUAAAAGGGCAAAUUGAAAGUAAAGUAUUUAGUGAAGGGAAUUAACAAUAAGUUUGAAAUCAUGAAGAAACAUAGCUCCAUCUCCAUCCCCAUCAAUCGAAGCCACAAUAGCCAUGGAAUCCUCAAGUGAAACAUCCAACCCUAAAUUCACAAACACAUCAUAAAGCUCUUCCCCACUCACAAGAUCAUCCUCAUCUGCCUUUAGAGCCUCAAGAGCAAUCUUCAAGUAGCUACCCAACUCCCCAACAUCCAUAUUCUUUGCAUUCAUCUCUAAGAACUCCCCCAUGCUUAGCAGCCCGUCUUUGUCGGCGUCACCUUCC
rnacentral:lncRNA from 1 species